UCGCUAGUUACCUACGAGUCGGAACCACCUCUAGUGGUCUGUACGACAAGACUGGGCACCUAAAUUGGAUCCAAUUGUGAGCAUAUGGUGUGGGGGUGAUAUAUAUUAUAUAUAUAUAUAUAUAUAUACAGGCCUAAAUCAUCUCUACUAAAUCACAAUCACCCUAGUGCAGGUUUAUGAGCUUUCAAUCAUAUCAACUCAACAAUUACAUAAUUUAAUUUAUGAACUUACCUGGCACUUACCUGUGCAUCUGCAGCACCAAUCAUGCAUGUAUGCAAUUACUAAUGCAUAAAUAAUUAGGCAUAUAUUUUGCAUGGCAUUUCAUAUCGCAUUUCAUAUCACAUGUCACUUAAAUUGAUUUCCUGGGAAAAAAUCUCAUUUAUAUAGGUAUAUACGGAAAACAAAACUGCCCACUCACCUGGAGUUCGCCCUACAACUCCCUAGCACAACACAUCAAAGCAUCAUGACGAUCGGCGCCUAGAACAAUCAUCAAAUCAAACCUCAGAAAUCAUAUCGAUAGAAUAUAUAACUUAUAUAAAACACGUCACUACGUAGUUCGAUCCGGAAGAUCUGCAACUAAAAAUUCCAAUCCAUAACUUCCAGAGGUCCACAAUAUAUCUCUAGAACAACAUCCUAAAAUUUCCUUAUCAUCCAACGGUCGGAUCUCCGUCAAUUGUCAAAACCAAGUGACGGUUAACAUUCUAUUUUAUGAACUUACAACUCCGAUUCCGGAAGAUCAGUAAAUCGGAUUCCCAAUCCAUAAGUUCCUAUAAUCCUCAAAUAUUACGUAUUACAACGUAUCAAAGUUUGGUGGCGAUCCAACGGUCGGAUCGUCAAUUCACAUUUUCACCUAACCACGAAUCGUAACGAACUUAGGUUCAAUUACUCAAUUUACGUCAAUCAAUUAUCAAAACUGAACCUAGAACAUUAAACACAUGCUAAGAAUGACAUUGGCGGGCCACUGGCCAGGCGCCGCCGCGGGUGGCGGUCGGCCGCCCCGACUCGCCGAAAAAUCCAACUAUCUCCAAAAAUUAUCAAAAUUUACAGAAAUGAAGAUCUCAAUUAUUAGAGUAAACAUUAUACCUGAGGCCAAGGCCAAUUUGGCCUGGAAAAGCUCAUUUUGCCAAAACCGUACGAAACCCUAUAUGUGGUGUUCUUCAAUUCGUCCUCAAUUCAACUCCGCCGCUCCAACCAACAAUUGGGCAUUUUUCUAGGCCUCAAGGGAAGUGUAUGUGUAGUGUCAAUUGGAAGAAAUUAUUUCAGAAUUUGGAGAAUCAACACAAGACCCGCUGGAGUCACCAUCGCCAAAUGUCACGGAUUUGACCCAAUUUCCAUCAAAUCUUAAGAGAAAAAUGAAGGAGAAGAGAUGUGGUGAUGCUUGCAAGUGGAGAUGGGAUGAAAAUCACCUGAAAAACGGCUCAGAACCGCCAGAAUUUCACUAGGUCGACGGGUUGGGUGCGCGCGGGUCGACAAGAUCCGGCCGAUCCUCUCCUUUUCCUUCAUCCUCCUUUCCCUCAUUUCCUUCUUCUGGUUGGCCAAUCAGCUUCCUCUCUCCUCUCCCCAUUUGGCCUUUCCUUCUUCUUUUCCGAUUGGGCAGCUUUGCCCAAUCUCUCUUUUUCUCUUUUUCCUCUGUUUUCCUUUCCUUCCGAUGCCUUCCUCUUUCUUUUCCCAUUUCUAAUAACAACUAAUAAAAAUAAUAACACAUAAAUAUAUAUAUAGGAAUUGCUUAAGGGGAGGGAUCCCCAUUUUUUCAAAAAAAUGGGGACACGCUCCCCACCGUUGGAUUUGACUUAAAUGAAAUCCUGUGGUUGAGAUUCUAUGGCCUGUGUUUUAAUCUCAACCACACAAUUUCAUUAAAGUCAAUCUAACGGUGGGGAGCGUGUCCCCAUUUUUUUUUGAAAAAAUGGGGAUCCCUCCCCUUAAGCUCCCUGUAUAUAUAUAUAUGUAUGUAUAUAUUAACCAAAGUAAAAGUACUUCUCAGGUUAGAGUUCCGUAAAACUUUAACCGUAACUCCAAAUCCUAUUCUGCUCGUAUUGUCGAGUACUUCAGAAAUACGCUGAAAUAAGUUCGUACUUCUCACUAUACGUUGGUCAACGAAAGUCAAAAAUCCUUCACCUCUAGGGCAUUUUCGUAAAAUCAGGGACGGGCUGUGGCAAAUACUUCGGUCAACCACAUUUUCAUUAAUCAAGAAUUUAAUUACAUAAGUUGAAUACAUACGCCAAGUAAUAUCUCAAAAACUAACAUGAACAUUCCCAAAAAUAACAAGUAUAAGUCGAAUACACUUAUGGUGUCCCAUCUACACUAAACAGCAAUCCAAUACCUCCAGACGUAUUGAGGUGCUAACAAAAAAGUUUUACCCAGUGUUGUUGGUCUGCCCCUGACUUGCAGCAAAAAAAAAAAAAAAAAAAGAAAAAAAAAAAACCUUCAAUUGUGCAGUAACAUCUUUGUUCUCUUUUUGCAAAUCCAUUGCGCUCUUAACUCUUUGUUCUUCUUUUGCACAAGGGGUACAUGACAUACAAAAGAGAAGUUAGUUAGUUAGCUAGACGUGUACAAUUUGGACCUAAUGUGCCAAACAGUGAAAUGUAGCCAGGGUUCCAUAUUGGUUUUGAAAUAUCUCCUGCAUCAAUUGUUGGAUAAGUGGAAGAAAGAUAGUGAAAACAUAUUCAAUUGAAGAUGAAUGAUCAAUAAACCAAAUGGAGCUCAUAUAAACAUACUAAACACCCAUGUCUUCAACAAUAUUCAAUUAGCAAUGCAAGAAAAGUCAAUUACAAAGGUAAAUGGAAAAGAAAGAGAAUAUGCAUACUAGAAUGACAAAAACGGGCAUGGGAUAUAUGUUGCUUUUCUACGUUUGUGUGUUGUCGUUGCCUCCUUACGACAACGUUCCUCCUCUUUCCAUCAAACUCAUUUAACUAAAAUCCACUACCUAGCUUUUAUUCCAGUUCCCCAACCACCUGUACCACCACUACCACCACUUCACCUAAUCUAACGGCUCGCGCCGCAGCAUACCUGGAAUCUCCCUGUCCCACCGGACGCCAUGAUGUUGUGAACACGGAAAAUUCCUGAAACAAAGAGACAAGAACAACGUACACAAACAAAUAUUUGUAUUUGAUGAUUUUGGGUUACAAUCUCUCUCUAUUUUGAUCCUCUGAUUCGAUCUCCGUAAGGUGUUGAUUUGUGGAUGUGUGAUUGAUCCAAGGGCCGUCAAGGCUUGAUCUUGGAUGAACGUUCUUUAAGGGCCGUGGACUUGAUCUUGAAGGUGGAUUUGAGCGGAUCUUCAAAGGGGCUUUUGGGCUUGAUCUUUGAAAAAACAGUGAUGAACGGAUCUCCAAGGGCUUUUGGGCUUGAUCUUGAAGAACAGUGAUGAACGGAUCUUCAAGGGCUUUUGGGCUUGAUCUUGAAGAACGGUUGGAUGUGUGGAUUUGUCGACGUUGUUGAUCCAAAAGGCCGUUGGGGCUUGAUCUUGGAUGAACGGAUGAUGAACGAUGGUGCUUUCUUCAAGGGCCGUCGGGCUUGAUCUUGGAAGAACGAUGAACGAUGAACGAAGAACGCUUUCCUCAAGGGUCGUCGGGGCUUGAUCUUGAAGGUGGAUGAUUGUUGAUCCAAGGGCCGUCGGGCUUGAUCUUGGAAGAACGAUGAACGAAUAACGCUUUCUUGAUUCUUCGGGAACCUGGAUGCUUGAGAGCUUCGGAGUUUCAAAGCUUCAGAGCUUCAAGAGUUUUGCCUAAUGAUUUUGGUUCCCUCAAAUGAAUGAAUUAGCCUUCUAUUUAUAGAAAUUUUCAAGGCCUAAUUUUGAAUAUAAUAUUCCAUAUGAAAUAAGUCGUUUCUGCCAGGUGUUGACACGUGUCCUGUUUGAUGACUUUUCCAACUUAUUUCAAUUUUUUGUUUAGACACACGCUACGUGUAAAAUUUAUGUAAUACAUGAGCGUUGAAACUUUGAUUUAUCGGUCAACAUUUAUUUACCGAAAUUUCGAUGUCUACAAAUGCCCCCACUUCAAGGCGCGUUGUAUACAUGUGCUUGUCACGUGUAGGAGAUGCGUUUUGAAGUCCCUUACUGUAGAUGUCGAUCCAAGGGCCGUUGAGGCUUGAUCUUGAAUUGGGCUGGAGAUUUCUUCAAGGGCCGUCGAGGCUUGAUCUUGAAUUGGGCUUGAGAUUUCUUCAAGGGCCGUUGAGGCUUGUUCUUGAACUUUUGUUUGAAAUUUCUUCAAGGGCCGUCGAGGCUUGAUCUUGAAGGUUGAAAUUAGACCACAAGGAGCUUCAUGUGGUAGAUGAUCUUUGACUUUGGUAGUGGGUGAAUCGGCACAUAUUUUGUUGCGCUUGUUGACUUUCCACAGCUUUGAUCUUGAACUGGGUCGGAGGAUUUUCUGGAUUCCUCCAAUUGUUGAUUUUCCACAGCUUAUUCUUGAACUAGGUUUUGAUUCAAGGGUGGUAGACACUUAAUCUUGGAUCGGACUUGUGAUUUCCUCAAGGGCCGUCGAGGCUUGAUCUUGAAUUUGGCUGGAAACUUCUUCAAGGGCCGUUGAGGCUUGAUUCUUGAAGGUUGACUCAAACACAUGGCAAGCAGGCACGAGGUAAAGGUGACAACCUGUUUCUUUGUUCAAUCUUUCUAAUUCAUACCUGAACAGUUUGGUCAACGGUAUGAUCUUCAAGAUUGAUGGGUUUUUCUUCAAGUUGGUGACUUAAUCUUUAAGGAUUCGAUUCAAGGGUGGUGAAUCGGCACGUGCAGCCCACAACGCCUAGUAAGUCGACCCAAGAAUUUGAGGGUCAAAACGAGUUCACCGUCCAGAGUGAUUACAACCCUGAUGAUAUGAGAUACUUUUGAUUUUGAAGAAGUAGCGGAUGAAUCGGCACGUGCUUUGUUGUGCUUGUCUCCACAUGCUUCAAUGUAUUAUUUUCCCUUGCUUUAUUUGUUCCUCAGGCAGAUGUGGCAUCUUCUCGAGUUCUUCAUCUCAGACUCUUUCUGCUGAGUUGACUGUGCAUGCUGCAUUCUUCUCUGCUUGUUUCUUCUGCACGUUGUCUCCACAUGCUGCAAGGUAUCAUUUUCACUUGCCUUAUCUAUUCUUCAGGCAGAUGUGGUAGCUUCUUUGGAAGUACAACAGCAGUGGGAGACGAGUACUCGAGAUCAGUGCUAGGUAGGCAAUCAGGGAAGGGUUCCAAGCAGUCGGUUCCUUACCCGAGUUUGAGUGGAAGUUCCGGCAUAUUGUUUUCUUUAUCCUUGUCUUUGUAGGUAAGAACAAGGACAAAGGAAAGGAUAGGGAGAACGCAUGAUAUGAGAUACUCUUGCUUUCUACCCUGGUGAUAUGAGAUACUUUUGCUUUGGAGUCAUUGGCUUGCAGAGGUACCCCAAGGAAUAAGGAACACUGAGUGACCCGAGAGGCUUCGUUGGGAAGGUAUUCUCGGAGAUGAAGAAAGGUUAUGUAUGUCUGCCUCGCUAUGGAGGGUGAAGGUGGACAGUUAUAGGAAAUUCGUUAGUACCUGUAGAGGUACUAUUCUUUUACUCGUGUCGGUAACCAAUGCGUGAUUGAUCAGUAUGGCUUCACGUGCCUUCUUCUUUAUCAGAAAUUUUCGACAAAUUGUUCGUAAUUUUCGUCAAGCUGAGUGUGCGUGUGAUAGGUGUUGACGAGGCUGAAAAAGACUGGCGCCUCUUCGAUAUCUAGGAUCGGCACUUCGACAAAUUGCCCGUGAUUUCCGCAAAGCUGAGUUUGUGCGUGACGGGUGCUGACGAGGUUGAAAAGACUGGCGCCUCUUCGAUAUCUGGGAUUGGCGCUUUAACAAAUUGCCCGUGAUUUCCGCAAAGCUGAGUUUGCAUGUGACGGGUGUGACAAGGCUGAAAAGACUGGCGCCUCUUCGAUAUCUGGGAUUGGCACUUUAACAAAUUGCCCGUGAUUUUCGCAAAGCUGAGUUUGCGUGUGACGGGGGCUAACGCGUCUGGAAAAGCAAGAUGCUUCUCCGAUUUCUGAGUUUGCCUCUUCGAUUUUUGAAUCGGCAUUUUCAAACUCUGAGCUCACCUCUUCGAUCUCUGAAAUCCCGUCGAGUGCUGCUUUUUUAUAGAGGCACGCAGUUCGUUUCAAAGCACACUUGAAUUUUCGCUUGUAGAAACUCCCUUCUUGCACUUCUAAGAUCUUGAUUCGUCCGACCUCUUCUUUCUUCAACACUUUGAAAAUGUCUGGACCCUCCGACCGUCGUUUUGACUUGAAUCUUGGUGAAGAGGCAGUCCCGCCUUCUCCAGACAACAUAUGGCGCCCAUCCUUCAUAUCCCCUACUGGUCCUCUUACCGUCGGGGAUUCGGUGAUGAAGAAUGACAUGACCGCUGCGGUGGUGGCCCGGAACCUUGUCACUCCCAGAGAUAACAGACUACUUUCCAAACGGUCUGAUGAGUUGGCUGUUAAAGAUUCUCUGGCUCUUAGUGUGCAGUGUGCAGCGUGCAGGUUCUGUGUCUAAUAUGGCCCAACGCCUAUUUGCUCGAACCCGUCAAGUUGAAUCCUUGGCGGCUGAAGUGAUGAGUCUCAAACAGAAGAUUAGGGGGCUCAAGCAUAAGAAUAAACAGUUGCACAAGCUCGCACACAACUAUGCCACAAACAUGAAGAGGAAAAUUGACCAGAUGCAGGAAUCUGAUGGUCAGAUUUUACUUGAUCAUCGGAGGUUUAUGGGUUUGUUCUAACAACAUUUACCUUCGUCUUCUGGGGCUGUACCGCGUAGUGAAGCUCCGAAUGAUCAUCCUUUGGCUCCUCUUCUUCCUGGAAUUCCGCCGAGUGGUGAGGCUUCAAACAGUCAACCUCCAGUGCCUCUCAUUUCUGGAGCUCUGCCGAGUGGUGAGGUGGCACCUGAUCGUCCUUGAAGAUCCCCUCUUGUAAAUUUGAUUUGAUUGAUUUUUUAUUUUUUUUAUUUUUUAUUUUUGUAUGUACAAUGCAAAUUUAUGUAAAAAUUUCCAGAAAGAAAUAAAGAAAAGCGGACUUUAUUUCUCUCGAUGCAUUUGGUUUUUUUUUUUUUUUUUUUUUUUUGCUGUAAACAUACAUAUAUUAUGCACACAUACAUACAUAUUAAUUUUUCACAUGGACUGAUCCACCAUUCUUUUUUUUUUUUUAAUUUUUUUUUUCACAUGGUGCCAGAGGCACCAAGACUCCACCAAAAUUUUUUUUAUAUUAUUUCUCCUUCUUUCCAGUCUUGGCUUUAAAACAAUCAAAACACGGUAAGUGGAGCACCCAAAACCUUUACAAUAUAUAUAUAUAUUUUUUUAUUCUUUUAUUUUUUUUCUUUGCACAUGGUGCCUGGUGCACCCCCCUUUUUUUUUCACGUGGUGACAGCAUCACUUUGCUUUGCUCCACCCUCUUUUUUUUCACGUGGUGACAGCACCACUUUGCUUUGCUCCACCACUUUUUUUUUUUUUUUUUGUAUAAAUUAGGAUGCUUGGCUGAGGGAUUUUGUAGGGAAGGACGAAGACGGACGGAAAGCUGGAGUUUAAGGAAGAGCUUCUCGGCCGGCUAGUCGUUUGACAGCGGUCUUUGAAGUGGGUGGCAGCUGCGAGGCAAGAGACGGAAGAGGGUGCAAGAGAAGAGCGGUGCAACCUUGAUGUCGGAGACUUUACCGUCGCCGUUGCUGCUUGGAACUGACGGGCAGAAGGGGAUUGCCGCUCAUUGUUGAUGGGCCCAUUCAUGUCGUCUGAAACAACACCAGCUUGCCCGUGAACACCGUAUUGAUGAGCCACCUCAAGCCCGUAUGUGGCUCCAGCCCAACCGCAGAGACGGCUUGAAGGAUCUGAGCGCCGGGGAUGGGGGAGAGUACAGCAAGCUUGCAGAGGUUGAAGAGGAGCUCCGCCUGGGAGCGCUGAUCGUUGGCGGAAGACAUGAGGUGGGAGAUCAGGGUUUAGAAAGGGGCCGGGUCGGUCUUAGCGACAAUUUAGACGAUUCAGAUGAAGUCGUACGGCACCAGCAUCAGCGAGUGCAUAACGCCAGUCAACUGUAGCGCCUGGAAGGUCCGAGCGUAGGUGGGUGUGACGGCAAUGACCGUUUUUGAGGUUGUUGACUCCAAACUGCCUCCCCUGCUUCUUCUAAAUCGUCUCAAUUUAUGCGGUGCGCAUUCAUGGUCUCGAUCGGGUUCGGGUGCGACCACGGUCAGAUUCGGAUCCCAUGCUGCCUGACGAUGACCCGGCUGCUGGAGCCAGCGGUGGUGGUGUUCCUGUUGAGAUGCCUUUCCAGCUGGUCAUCCAAGCUCUUCAGAUCAAUCCGAUCUACCCUCACAAACCCAUCUGAGCUUUUCUUCAUUUUUUGUUGCUUCUGAUUUCAGAAGCUUAGAAAUUGAAUGAGUUGUUUGGAAUGGAUCAGAGUUUCAGAUCUAAUGGAUGGCUGAGAGACUGAAUUUGGGUGCCUUCUAGGUGCCCCAAAUUUCUACAGAGACGAAGGGAGAGGGAGGAGGGAGCAGAAGCUGUGAAGAUCGAGAGACAGAAACCUCCAGGACCGAAAUUCGAAUCCAACCCAUUUCGAACCAUGACUUCCAUGUGGGCGCUCCUGAUAACCACCACGAUGAUGCUUUUGAGGACUGUGGCUAUGCCUUCACUUGUUUCUCCCAAAUAACCGCCUCCUCAACUCCCUGCUAAUUUUCUUCAAGUGCAUGAAGUUGCAGUAGCCACCUCGAUUGCAUACAUUUUCUUCGUACUGCCUACAGGUAGCUUCACGAAAAUCCGUCAAGGGUGAAAAGUCGACGAUGAUGGGACGCCCUGCAUAGAACCUGCCAGUGAAAUUCUGAAGCGCAGCUUGAGCAUGUUCUUCCUCCCUGAACCGAACGUACACAUUACCAACCAUGUGGUCAGCCAAAUUGUCACAGAUAUCCAAGCUUUCGAUCUGUCCGUACUUGCUCAGCUCCUCGAACAGAUCCUCAUAAAAAUCCUCGAAGUUGUCCUGGAUCUUGCGGGGGUCGAGGGCUUGGCCCUGGGGGUCGACGCCGGGGUUGGUAAGCAUAUCGGGGCGCUGGUACAUGUUGGAGAGGAGGAGUUGUUGACAAAAUUCCCUCCAAUCUUUUCUAGCAGGUAACAUCUUACGGUAAAAGUUUUAUGCUUCGACGAAUCGCUUAAGUUGCUGCAACCAAUUUGCAUAUUCUUUGUUGUCCUUGUUGAGCAUGUACUCAUGCAAGAAAUUAGUUGUGCUGGGCUUGAUUCCUCUCACCUCUAAAUACUUGUGGAAUGCUUUCUGAAGGUUCUCAUCCAAAUCAUGGAAAUCAGGCCCCUCGUAGGCAAUUUGAUCCUCGGAAUCUUCGGGAUUUUUCACUGCCAAGCUGUCAAUUUGAAACUCAUCAGGGUAAGUAGUGACGCUAAACUCGACAACUGGUCCGUUACCCUUGGAGACAGUUACAACCAACGGGAUGCUGGAUUGGUUGGCGUGUUCAUCAUUGUCAUCAUUUUGGUUAUCAUCGUUGUCGUAUUCACCUGUGACUAGAUCAGGCAUAUGAACUUCAACCUGUAUGUCUUCACCUUGAUAUGUUCUUUUCAGCGUCACUGUUUGGAUUCCGGGAGUAUCUUCAAUUUUAAAGGGGAAGGAUGAUGGAAUCUCCUCAACCUUGUCGAGAUCCUCGGUCUCCUCAGCGCACUUGAUCUCCGACUCGAUCACCUUGAUCAGAGACUGGUCCGAACUGUGGCUCGAAUAGUAUCGAGGGGUGGGAACGAAAGGGGUCGGCUGAGUGUGCUUUCGGGAGAAAUUGAAGCGGUUGACGGCGGUGGCAACAGCGCCGUGGUAAGACCGCUGGCCACGAGCAAGGCGGCUGGCGAGUGGGGCCAGGGAGGAGGCCGAUCGGCGGAGAAUUGAAGUGAAAGCCAUUUGGUUUGGAGGAGAAGCGAGGCGAGGGUUUAGCUAGGGUUUUAGAAACAGGGCUUUCUCUGUCCCUUGACUCCUUGAGAGGUUUAGUGCGGCUGAGAUUUGAGACAAGCAUUGGAUUUGACCGCGGAUUGGGCUUGGAGGCUGCCACUUGGGCCUGGAUGGCCUCAUUUUAAGAGGCUUGCUGCUGAUGGGGUUUCAGAAUGAUUUUUUUUUUAAAUACAUAAUAACAUAUGUAUUCAAUUUUUUUUUUUUUCGAAGAAACUGUAGUUUAAUUUUGUACAAAGAAAAUAGUAAUUUUCUUUAACAAAAUAAAUUUGUAAUGAAAUUGACCUUCUUUAAUAAAACAUUUAUUCUUUUGAUUUUGAUGUGACUGAACUCAAAAAAUUGAACAUUCGAGCUGCCUACGUACCCCUCCAAAGAAGAGAUCAAGUCGUAACGUAGUUCAAAUACAUUUUUUUUUUCUUUUUGUGUCGUUUGCAGUUUUAACUCAUGCAGGCAAGGAGUGUUGUUGUCGUUUGCAGUUUCAACUCGUGCAGACAAGGAGCAUUUGGUGCCGUGUUGCAGUUUCAGCUCGUGCAGGCAAGGAGGUUUGGUGUUGCCUUUUAUGCUCGUGCAGACCAGGAGCGUUGGUUCGUGCAGUUUAGGCUCGUGCGAACAAGGAGCUUAGUGCCAUGCAGUUUAGGCUCGUGCAGGCGAGGAGCCUUGUGUCUUGCAGUUUAGGCUCUUACAGACAAAGAGCUUUGUGUCUUGCAGUUUAGGCUCUUACAGACAAAGAGCUUUGGUUCGUGCAGUUUAGGCUCGUGCGAACAAGGAGCAUUGGUGAAUUUGUCAAGCAAUUUUGGAAAAGCGUUCCUCACAAUCUUCAUAGCAAGGAGCCUUGACCGCGUGAUUGAAGAAGUCUUCGGGCAAGAAAUCACGCAUCGUGAUGGCAACGGACGAUCUUUGUGUCGCAAUUUUAUCAUCUUCAACAUGUUCACGUUGCUUUGAAGGUUGACAAGAGCUGCUUUGCCCCCUUUCCGAUUGGCAAACUUGUGGAGGAGACGUAUGCUUCUUGUGCAAUUUCUUAGGAGUGACUUGAGUCCAUCCUUCAACUUUGCUUGUCUUGGAGGAUGCCCCCAGCGGUUGAGGUGAAAAUUUUGAGUCGGAAGAGCCAGAAGUGAAGGUGGUAUAGUUUGAGUUCACCACAUCGUCAAGAUCUAGCUCGAUGAUUCCUUUCUGAGCCAGCUUCAUGAUGAGAUCUUUCAGUACGAAACAUUUUUCUGUCGGAUGACUGAUGAAGCGGUGGAAUUUACAGUAUCUUGGACUGUUGGUACGAUUCAUUUCUUCCGGCCGUCUGCACUCAGGCAAACUGAUCACCUUCUUGUCCAACAGGUCAUCUAGCAUGGCAACCACAUCAGAGUCGGGGAAUGGAUAAGUCUUCUCCUCAAGCUCCUUCAAAGUGCGUCUACGCGUCUCUUGAUCACGAAAAGCUUCGGUUUGAAUCGCCUUGCCUCGUGUGGAUAUUUUGACGGGAGAUGUGUUGACCGUCAUCGCUUCCUUGGUGGGUUUCCAUGCAGCAUUUUCCACCUUUGUCCCAAGAACUUUGUCGUUCUUGUAGUCGGUGAUCGGUUCUUUCUUCCCAUGAUGGGCGAUGCUCAACUCCAUGUUAUGGGCGCGAGUGGCCAAUUCCUCGAAGGUCCGAUGUUUAAUGCCUUGAAGGAUGUAUUGCAAACCCCAUUGCAUGCCUUGGAUGCACAUCUCGAUUGAAGAGGUUUCCGAGAGCCUGUCUUUACAGUCGAGGCUUAGAGUGCGCCAUCUGUUGAUGUAGUCAAUGACUGGCUCGUCCUUUCACUGCUUUGUGCUCUUUAGCUCUAGCAUGCUCACAGUGCGGCGGGUGCUAUAGAAGCGGUUGAGGAAUUCCCGCUCUAAUUGCUCCCAGCUGUUGAUGGACUCGGGCUCUAGGUCCGUGUACCACUCAAAGGCAUUGCCUUUCCGCGAGCGCACAAACUGCUUGGCGAGGUAGUCUCCCUCCGUCCCUGCGUUGUUGCAAGUUUCGACGAAAUGUGCAACGUGCUGCUUUGGGUUUCCUUUUCCAUCGAACUGCAUGAACUUUGGUGGUUGAUAACCCCUUGGCAUCCUUAGGGCAUCAAUCUUCUUGGAAUAGGGCUUCGAGUAGAACAAGGAGGUAUGUGAGCUCCCUUCGUACUGUGCCUUGAUGGUGUUGGUGAUCAUCUCUUGCAGCUGCUGGAUAGAAAGAGAUCCCAUGAGUGCCGCUGCUUGGUCUGACUCCGACUUCACAUCGUUUUUCUCCACCUGAGGCUCCUCUCAUUCGUCGUCUCUUCUCUUUAGUAGAUCAUCCUCUGGGUCGGGUUUAUCACCGUCCUGCGCCUCCAGUCGGUUGACCAGUGCUGCAAUUUGCAAGUCUUUUUCUUCCACAGUUCGGGUUAGCCUUGCGAUCGCUUCAUUCAUUUGAGCCAGCUGUUCAUCGAUUGAAGUUGCUCCAAUGGUCAUGACUUGCAUGGCUGAACUGUCGCUUGAAUCGGCAUCGGAGAGCAUGGAUUCGGAGUAUUUCCUUGGGCUUUCCCCCCUUGGUGCCCUUAGUGAGGCUAAGGUGAUCAAAGGCUCGUGCCUUCGGUGCUUUUGUUCCCUUGGCAGAGUUGAUGUAGAGGUGAAAGAGGCGGCAGAAGUAGCUCUUGCCAUGCUUCGAGUCGUGAUGCCCACAGUGACACCAGUUGCGACGAGGACGCUCUUGUUCUUUGCGCCGGUUGCGAGAACAGUUUGAGCCUUCCUUGAUGCCAUUAAUUUUGGAAGUGCACUUGAAUUUCUUGAACGGAGAAAGAGAUGAGAGGUAGAGAUGUCCCACUGGGCGUGCCAAUUUGUGAACACGGAAAAUUCCUGAAACGAAAGAGACAAGAACAACGUACACAAACAAAUAUUUGUAUUUGAUGAUUUUGGGUUACAAUCUCUCUCUAUUUUGAUCCUCUGAUUCGAUCUCCGUAAGGUGUUGAUUUGUGGAUGUGUGAUUGAUCCAAUGGCCGUCAAGGCUUGAUCUUGGAUGAACGUUCUUUAAGGGCCGUGGACUUGAUCUUGAAGGUGGAUUUGAGCGGAUCUUCAAAUGGGCUUUUGGGCUUGAUCUUUGAAAAAACAGUGAUGAACGGAUCUCCAAGGGCUUUUGGGCUUGAUCUUGAAGAACAGUGAUGAACGGAUCUUCAAGGGCUUUUGGGUUUGAUCUUGAAGAACGGUUGGAUGUGUGGAUUUGUCGACGUUGUUGAUCCAAAGGGUCGUUGGGGCUUGAUCUUGGAUGAACGGAUGAUGAACGAUGGUGCUUUCUUCAAGGGCCGUCGGGGCUUGAUCUUGAAGGUGGACGAUUGUUGAUCCAAGGGCCGUCGGGCUUGAUCUUGGAAGAACGAUGAACGAUGAACGAAGAAUGCUUUCCUCAAGGGCCGUCGGGGCUUGAUCUUGAAGGUGGAUGAUUGUUGAUCCAAGGGCCGUCGGGCUUGAUCUUGGAAGAACGAUGAACGAAUAACGCUUUCUUGAUUCUUCGGGAACCUGGAUGCUUGAGAGCUUCGGAGUUUCAGAGCUUCAGAGCUUCAAGAGUUUUGCCUAAUGAUUUUGGUUCCCUCAAAUGAAUGAAUUAGCCUUCUAUUUAUAGAAAUUUUCAAGGCCUAAUUUUGAAUAUAAUAUUCCAGAUGAAAUAAGUCGUUUCUGCCAGGUGUUGACACGUGUCCUGUUUGAUGACUUUUCCAACUUAUUUCAAUUUUUUGUUUAGACACACGCUACGUGUAAAAUUUAUGUAAUACAUGAGCGUUGAAACUUUGAUUUAUCGGUCAACAUUUAUUUACCGAAAUUUCGAUGUCUACAGAUGUUUCCCAAGUUCCUCUUGACUAAUUGACACAUCCCGACCCAUAAUGCCUAUUUAGACUCUGAAUCGAGCUGUGAUGAUCGACACCUGGAAGGUGAUGAAGUCAUAAAGUGUAGUGUAGUGGAAAAUGUGAAUAAAUUUAAACCUAAAAGUGCCUAAUUUGAAAAGUGCGAUGUGAACAGGAAUGAACUCAUUUCAAACGUGAUGACAAAUCAUAAGUGAAGUACAGUAAAGUGGAAUGAGAGUUAUACCAUCGAAGGUAACCACCUAUACCAAUAUUUACCAAGAAUCCUCGUCCAUACAAAAGUGGGCCUGAAGAUAAAGUUUGAUAAAAACCUUUCUGAAAACAUUGUAACCCCUCACCAUAAAACAAAUAUAGUUUCCAAAAAAUCAUACUACAUAUAAGUAUGAAAUCAAAUGCAUGCCAACAGUAAGUCCAGAAAUAUGCCACAACACAAUAUCUCAACGGCAAUAUAAAUAUAAUCAUGUGCACGCAAGUCGGAGUCACCUCAUGUGACCUGUACGACUGCACCUAUUGCUCAUCCAUCUAUGCUAACACACGAGUCGGAGUCAUCUAAUGUGACUUGUAUGACAGGGCUAGGUGUAAUAAUAUACAUUCUAGUGCUACGAUUACGUGAAGGCUAGCUCUAUGCGCAUCACCUACAAGUCAGAGUCGCCUAAUGCGACCUGUACGAUAAGACUAGCACCUACUUGGAUUCAAGGCGAGCGUGCGGUGCAAGGUGAACAUCAUGUGAAGGACUGGCCCUGACCUGGGGUGAGAGCACUAACACCGGGUGUAGCAAUGAUGAGCAAGGUUCUAAAAAACGAUAGGCGCUAGUCGGGCGGCUAGGCGGGGUCUAGGCGGCCUAGGCGGAUUUAGAUAAAUUUCUUGUAUAUCUUGUAAAUAAGUGUACACUGACAUUUAUAAAAAAAUUAUACUCGUAUGAAAUCCCUGAAUAAGAUAGUAAAAAAAAUAAUAAAAUGUGUAUCUAACAAGUCUAGAAAAUCAAUAGAACUUAUGCUAUGAAACAGCCUGACAAUCUAAUAUUUUUUUUAAUGGGAAAAAAAAUAAUAGCACUUGAUGCUAUGGAUGGAUUGAAAGGUGACAACCUUUUUUCUUUAGAAAAGUCAAGCUAGCUGUCCAAUUGGACAGAAACAAAAAAAAAUUAAAUAAAAUAAUUUGAAAGUGAUCACGUGGGUGUGGAAGGAAGAGAGAUAAAUUAAUUUUUUUCUCAUCUUCUUCCUCUUCGCAAGAACACAGGCAGAAGCUCAUGAAGCCCAGAAAAAUCAGAACAAAGCUAAUCUGCAUUCAUCCUUUCUCAAGUUCGAACACAUAAAAAAUUGAAAAUUCCAAACCCCCUAGGCCACCUAGUCGCCCUCUUGGGCCGCCCAAGGGCCGCUCAGGUCGCCUCAGCGCCCGCCUAAUCCAUGUCCCGAUAUUGCUCCCGAUUAUGCAUUAAUCCCGGCGGUUGGCCACUGCCCAGCGCCUAGGCGGCCGCCUAGGCCGAUUUUUAGAACACUAAUGAUGAGCCAUUAUAUGAAAAUGAGCAUGCCAUAACUCAAUCAUUCCAAACAACACAAUAAACUCACCUAAACUUACCUACGCGUCCUGUAGAAUUACUUAGCAUUUCACAACAGUGCAACAUUUCUCAUAACAUAAUUUAAUCAUGGCAUGUAGUGCAUAAAUCAAUUCAAAAGCAUUUGUGGAAACUAUCAAUCAUACACACACACACACACACACACACACACACACACACACACACACACACACACACACACACACACUACAAAAAGGAAAAGACCCACUCACUGAGGUCCGCGCUACAACUUCCUAGCAUGAAUAUCGAGGCGUCACAAAUUUUUUGGCGCCUGCCACGAAGUUCAAAAGUGAACAGAAGAUGGUCAAUUUCGCCAAUAAAGUCGGCGGGUGCCUAAAGUUUUCAGGCGUCGAUUCGUCACCUACGGUGGUCCAAUGGGGUCAAGGUUGGUCGAGAUUUACUCCUGAGAUGAUGGGCUACAAAACCCAAGUAGUGGUGUCGGCCAUCGCUUUGCUGAUUCACUGGAAAAAUGAAAAGGGUGGCUGGAGCACCAUUGGUUUUCAUCGGGUUUUGUGACCUUGCACCGCCACAUACAAAGGUUAAUCAAUGUGGUUCUUGGUUGGGUUUCGUAGAGGGGAGUGAGAGCUUUAAGAUGGUGGUGGUGGUGUUGAAAAAUUCCACUGAAGUUGGCUGGAAUCGAUGACGGAAAAUGGGAGGUUGCGAGGAUGGGUAGACGGGAAGAAGAGGGGUACACUCUUUCUCUUCUCUUGAUUGGCUCUCUCUCUCUCUCCCUCUAUUUUCUGAUUGGUCCUCCCUUUCUUUAACUGAUUGGUCCCUUAUUUUCUAGCUUAAAUCUGAUUGGUUUCUUUCCCACAAGUUGGGAGUUAAAUUUAUUUAUAACUAAACUUUAAAUAACCAAUUUCAAACGUCCGUAACUAUACCGUUAUAAUCCAAACUCGCAAACGGUUUUUGCCUAUGCGUUCGUACCAUAAAGUACUACACAAAUACGUUAAAAGAAUAAUUUGUACGUCUCACUACACACAGGUCAAUGAAAGUCAACAUCCUCACCUCUAGAGGCAUUUUCAUCAAUUCACUCAUUUAAAAUUACUAAAAUCGUAAAAUUGAGGAUGAGUGUUGCACUAAAGAUAAAAGAAUUGAGUAUUCUGGAUUAUGUUAGUGUUGAAAUAGGUUUGUUUACAUUAACUUUUGGAAUUAAUGAAUUUGUGGCCUUUGUUUGGUAUUCUGAUUAUUUUGGCAUUAGAGUCUACAUUGGAAUUUGAUUUUGAUUCACAAAUUUUUGAUAAACCCCAACAAGAAAUUUAGGAAUGUGUAUUAGUUUUUUUUUUUUUUUUUUGGGUUUUUUUUUUGGGGGGGGGGUGUUAUUCGGAUUACUUUUUUAUGACUCUCUCUUUCUCUCGGAUAUCUGCUUUUUCUUCUGUCUUUGCAUAUUUUGUUUUUAUGUUAAUUUUGGAAAGUUCCCAGCAAAUGCAUGUGAGUGUGUGUCUUUUUUUAUUUAUUUAAAUUUUUGAUUAAAUUGUAUUUUGUUGUGAAGUAGUAAGGGGAAGUGGAAAAUGGAUUGUAUAGAUUGCAAAGUUCCCACAAUUUUGAUUCAGAAAUUUCUGAUAAAGUUCCCAACAAGAAAUUUGGGAACGUACAUUAAGUUUUUUUUUGGGUUUUUUUUUUUCUUCCAAUUUUUGGGUUUUCAUUUGGGUUAUUCUCUGAACAUUCUCCUUUUCUUUUACGCUUGGUUUCGUAUACAACGUUGUCACGUUGCAUGCAAAACGUUGCAUGCAAAUAAAUAACCUUCCAGAAAGCCCACAAGCCACUAAAAUGGCAACUGGCAUAUCUGCUUAUUUCUAUGUUUCAAAAUCUGGGUUUUAGAUAUUUGUUUUGUUAAUUUUGGAAUUUGACUCCUAAAUUUUUUAAAAGUUUUGAAUUUUUUUUGUUAUUUAGGAUUCAAGAUUGGAUUCUCUCAAUUUCUGGGCAAAAGAAAAUAGGGAGAGAACACCAAUGUACCUGAAAAAGUUGAACUUAAUUGUAUCGCUGUUUCAUUUUCAAAUAUAGUUAGGAGACUUUAUCCUAGAAAUGAUUACAAAUUUUGGAAAGAUCAAAACAUCAGAAUACGUUUCAUGCUAAUACAGAUUUGGUGCUUUCUUAAAUUACAUGCCGAAGUUGUAUUUUAGUAUACAUGAGACGAAAUGCUUAUCUCAAUUGAUGCUUAAUGUUCCACACAGUCUCUCAAAUUUCUAUAAAAUUGACUAGUUGUAAAUGUGCUGAAUGUAUUUAUCAUAUGAUUAAUUCCACUGAUAAAGCAUAAGACUUUUUCAGAUUAAUUCCAUAUUUAAAGCGAGCGAAAAAUAUGAUUACAUUUAUUUGUGUUGAUAUGAAUAACCCAUGAAUUUUUUUUUUGGUAUUAAAUUACAAAUAACUAAAUACAUACGUGUCUACACUUCUAUUCUAUCACAUGUAUAUUGGCUUCCAAAUUUGUAGCGCAAUGAAGAUAGAUCUGUUCUGAAGUUUGUUACCUUUUCAAUCUAACAAGAAUAUCAAAGUUCGUGUGUGCAAGAUUUGGAUACCAAAAGUUAUAGGAAAGGAUAAUAAGUUUGGCGGUGUCCAGUGUAUAUUGGUUGAUGAAAUGGUAAGCAAAUAUUUUUUUUCUUUAGUUAUAAUAAUACCAUAUUCUAUGAAUUUGUCAGUAAUAUUAACCUAAAUUCUACUGAAAGGGUAUAUGUAUUUUAGUUAUUUGCGAACUUACAAAUGACCUUUCUUGAAGAAUGAAAGAAAUUAGAUUUCAACUUUGAAUGGAUAUUCAAUCAACCUUGAAAAAUGGUUUCAACAGAAAUGAUCUUAUGAUCUAAAGCAAUAUUUGAUGACAAGGUAAAAGAUAUUCAAUCAAGCUCCAAAGCUUCUUAUGAAAUAGUGGUAGAAUUUCAGGAGGAAGAUACGACUGCUCAAAAUUUUUUAUUGACUCCACCACUUUUUUGAAAAAAAAAAAAGUUAAAAGUAUGUCUCUUCUACCUCUUCAUCCAUCAUUGUCACAACAUCACAUAUUGAAAGUUCCGCUCGGAAGACUCUUUUCAGCUCCGAGACAAGAAAAAAAAAAAAAAAAAAGGUAAGAACUUCCACAAUAACUGAAUAAAUAUCUCAUUCGCAUCUAUAUUUUCACAUUACCAAACAUCUACUAAUACAUUAAUCUUUUUUUUAUUUAUAUGGAUUUAAGGGAAACUAAAACUUUUGAAGAAACUGAUGAACAAAAUAUUUUAGACAUUAAAGAUUUUUGUCACAUCCCGGUCUAGGCCCCCACCACAUCCCAGGCUCGACUCAGCCGUAGCACGAUAUUGUCCGCUUUGGGCUCCGACCACGCCCUCACGGUUUUGUUUCUGGGAACUCACACGAGAACUUCUCAGUGGGUCACCUAUCAUGGGAUUGCUCUCGCGCGAACUCGCUUAACUUUGGAAUUCCGAUGCAACCCGAAGCAGUGAGCUCUCAAAAUGCCUCGUGCUAGGUAGAGAUGGGAAUAUACAUAUAAGGCUUACAUGAUCCACUAUCCUGAACGAUGUGGGAUGUUACAAUUUUCCCAUCAAAUCUCAAAAAAAAAAAAAAAUAUAAAAAAAAAAAACCAAUGCUUCUCCAAACAAAUUUGAAAUAGUCUCUAUUGUUUUCAAAACUCAAUACGUUACAUAUAUUAGUUAUUAGUACAUAUAUUUUUAGAAUUCAAAUUUUAUCAUAUUUCUUAUACAAAAAUAUAAUCUCAAUCUACAGGAAAAAGAAGUACAAAGAUGAAUGAUAGGAGCAUAUUUAUGUGACUUAGUUAACUUGUUUUCUUGCAUUUUCAUAGCUAGUUUCUGUUUAUUAUAGUGAUUUAAGCUAUUUUCGUGUGUUUGUAGGUCCAAAUGACAAAGUUGGUAAGAAAGUGUAAUUUGGAGCAUUUUGGAGCAGUUUUUGGGCCAAAAAUGGAUAGCAUAUGAAUGGAGCAAGGUGGAUGGACGUUUUUGAAAUUCAAGAGGCUAGGAAUGUGCUAAAGAUCUGGAAGAAAUGAAUUCAAGACAAAGAAGAUAAGGAAUCAGCCAAAAAAGAAGGAACAUUAUCCAACCUUAUCUUAUCCAAACUAACCUUAUCUUAUCUUAUCCUAUCAUAAUCUUAUCCUACCUUAAUUCCAACUGAAAGGGGGGGAUCAAUUUCACAUUAAAGCACCUACAAAUCAGGUUUCUAGAAGCCAAGACCUUAUCCCUAAAUUGGUGCCACACCUAGCCAUUCUAGAAGCUAUAUUUCCUGCUGAAAGGACUACUCAUUUUCCUCCCUGGAAUCUGAUGAGAAGUGUCAUUUUUCCUUGCUAAUUUGGAAUCCUAAUUCCCUUUGUUCUUAGCCUAUGCUGUGCCUUCCCUUUUCCCUAUAAAUACAAUUGCUGCAGCACUCAGAAUUCACCCAUCUCUCACCACAAUUUUGCACCAAACACCACACAUCCAUCAUACACGGAAAAUCCCUCUAAUGCCGUAGCCUUGCAAGGAGAAAGGAGAGGAGACCCUUUGUCGUGCCCUGCCAUUCAAGACCCUUGGGUUGCUGGAGCGUUCUUAGGUGUAUUCUAUCUUUUGUUUUCAAUGUUUAAUUUAAGUUAUCUUUGUUUAAGUGUGAACAUGAGGAACUAAACUCGUUUUGGCUAGAGGCAAAUUCAAAGCCAUGAACAUAUAUUGCAUAUGAAUUGAUUACUUUCAGUUAUUACUCCAUAAAUCGUGAAUGUAAUCUGCUUGACUGUUUAAUUCAGAACUUAUUCUUGUAUGUUGAUUAAGGGUGCACACUUGAUUUGCAUACAUGAAUUUGAUGCUAAAAUAUAAGGGAGUUUCACCUAAUAGUUAUGAACUUAUAUUUACAAGUAGUGGAGGUCAUUGGUCAUGAUCGUGUUAAGUGAAUUCUUGGCAGGAGUAUCAUGCUAUUCAUAGUUACGAAUAUCUUAUCAAUGCUUAUGAUUUUCAUAGAACUUAAUGAUCUUUGAUAUGUAUCUUUAUUAUGUUGCUCGUGUAGGGAACUUGAUAAGAAUAAUUUGGUUGCGACGCUGAGUCUGAUUCAAUGAACUUAGGAAAAUCUGAGGGUUAAUUAGUGUUGUUCACGGUUAAUCUGGGGCGUUGUCAUUCAUGGUUUAUAGGAAGAAUAACUGAAAAUCGAUUCGUAUGCAUAUGUAUCAUGUGUGGAGAAGGACCCUCUAGCUAGCCAUUCACCCAUUAAAUCACCAAUUUCGUCCAAAGUUAUUUAGAGUCUUAAAUCUGUUUAGUUUUAGUCUUAAAUUCGUCAAAAACCAACUCCCCCUUUAUAUUUUGUGUUUUUAGUUAGAAUCUGUCCAAAACUGGUUUCUUUUUAGUGUUUUGAGUAUUUUUAGUACAAAUUUCGUCCAAAGUCAUCCUUAGUGUUAGUUUUGAGUCAAUUUGUUUGUUUUGUGUAGUUUUGAGUAGUCUGAGUAAGUUUUGAGUCAUAAGAGUCUAGUUCAGUAUUUUUAAGUCUAGUUGAGUAUAAUUGAGUCUAAUUUGAGUUGAUUAGCAGUCCCUCCUAAUCCUCGGCCUAGAAUGAUCUCUACUUACACAUACUACAACUAUCAAAAGAGGAUUUAAUUUGUGUGCUAGUUUAAUUUCACAUCAAUGAAUGAAGCACUUUGUAGCAAUACAUAACAAUAAGAAAAUUUUGUGAUGAGCCCAGAAACAGGAAUGCUACAUGAAAAAUAGGGCAAUGCGGGCAAUUUUUUAUAUAGUUGGGACUUGAAAGUUUGUCCUUAUUUGUUGCAGAAAUCUGCCUUUUUUUGUUGUACAUAGACUCUUAACGUAGAGUUAGUAAAAUGUGGGUGCAAACUGAACGACUAAUUAAUGUGGAAAACUUUUGAAAGUUUAUAUAACUGGGACUUAGAAUUCUCCCCUUUAAAUUUUACAUAAGCUCUUGAUGUAAAGUAAAUGUAACUAAAGGACUUGCUUUACCAUGUGAGUUUUGAAUUAUUUAAAGAUGGAUAUGUUGUAGGUUGUUUUAUGGUUAUGAAUUAGAUGUACAAUGAAAUAUGUAUUUGCUGCUAGCUUUUUGAGUAUCAUCUCAUUGCUAGGUGCUCUCAUCCAAUUUCUUUUUGUUUUUGGAAAUUAUUCAUAGUUGUAGUGAAUUACGGUUUAAAUGCUAGUUAAGGUACCUGAAGCUUAUCCAAAGUUGCUGAGAGGGAAAUUGUUAUUGAUUUGGUCUAUUUUCAAGUCAAACAUGUUUAUUUUGAAAAAUUUGUUCGGAGUAAUUAUAUAUCUAAGUAGUGAAUUAUUUAGGAUUGUUCAUGGAGCAUGAGAACGUCAGUGUUGGGUUAUCUGAGAGAUAAAUGUAUGGCACACGGGAUUUAAGUUUUUUUUUUUGUACACUUGUAAGAUCCCACAUCGCCCAUGAGAGUGAUUCUUAUAUGUAUAUUUUCAUCCCUACAUAGCACGAGACAUUUUGGAAGCUCACUGGCUUCGGGUUCCAUCGGAACUCUAAGUUAAGCGAGUAGCGCGUGAGAGCACUCUCAUGAUGGGUGACCCACUGAGAAGUUCUCGUGUGAAUUCCUAAAAACAAAAUCGUGAGGGCGUAGUCGGGGCCCAAAGCGGACAAUAUCGUGCUACAGUAAUGGAGCGGGCCCGGAAUAUGGUGGACCCCGGGUCGGGAUGUGACAACACUUGUAAGGUUUCCAGAUUAUUUGUAUCAAAUUUUGUUUUUAUUUUAUUUUUAUUUGCGCACUGGUGGCUAGAUUAUUUUUUUCACUCACCCCAGGUCUGGAGCUUGACAAUGCUGUUGCGGGAGGGGCCUUAAUGGAGACCUUUGGACAAAAAGGAAAUUUACUAGGGAAGGAAAAUAUUCCAGAGAAUCUUGCAUUGCCAUACCAACCUGUAGAUAGAUCGCCUGACUAUGUUUGGUAAAUUUUACAUGAAGAACUGAGAAUGCAAAGAAUAAGGAAAGUAUGUAUUUUACAUGAACCACUUUGGGUUGGACGAAUUUCAUAUGUUUAAAGACUAUGAGCCGUACCGAUUUAAACCGAUUCGGUUUGAAGACAAUGUCUUUAAUUAACAACCAAAUUUUUUGAAUUGGUUCAAAUCAGUUUGAUCAAUUUGAUCGAUUUGUUGGUUUUUGUUGCCACCCUAAACUCUAAUUAUACUUGUUCCCCUUGCAUCGAAGUUGAAAUCCAUGUCCUUGAAGAUAACACUGUGUUUGGAUGAAGGAAAUAAACCUGAAAUUUUGACAAAAGUCGGAAUUUAUAAAUUGCCAUGCAUAAAUUCCUUUGUUUAGAUUGAUAAACAUAUAAAUUUAGAAAUUGAAAUGAUGGACUUCUAUUUUCUAGAAUUUUUGAAUUUUCUUGUUAACCUAGAAGAACAAUGAAAUUUGAAUACAAAAUGUGCUAUUUAAACUCUCACUCAUAGAAAUUGGAAAAUGACACAUAUUUACAUAGAAUUCAAACUUGGGAAUUUAACGUCCCAAAUUCUAUAGUGGUUCGAUAUGAGAUCACAAACCUAAAAUAGGGUCCUGAAUCCCAAACCAAAAAUUUUCAGUAUGAAAAUUUGAAGACCAAUCCCGAACCAAAAUUCCGUUAUUCCUAAUUUUUGGGAUUCCCGAUCGAGAUGCAUCAGCAUUAGAUUUUGGGUUUUGAGUUUUUGGGUUGAAACUUGAGAUUUUUGGGUUGUGAGCUAAAAUUUGGACUUUUGGCUUGAAAAUUUGUUGCCCAAUUUCAUAUCAAUUGAAAUUUAGGUUUUUUUUUUAGGAAAACUAAUGAAAAGGGCUUGAAAACAUUGAGUUUUAAUGAUAAGGACAAAAUAAAAGGUAAAGUGAAUAGUACCAGGAUUGACUUUUUAGUGUAAAAAUGUGGUUUUUCGUUAAAGUGAACAGUACCAGGUGCUUUUCGUUAAAGUUCCUUUUUUUUUACCUCAUACCAAUUAAAAUACCAAAUCAUUCAUAUCAAGUCAAAUUGACGUUCCAAAGUUUCAAACAACUUAAUUUUAUACUUCUAUUUCUAGUAUUGUCUACUAUCAAACUACUUAAAUUCAACAUUCAACAUGCUAUAUGCAACCAAAAUAAAUAAAUAAUAUAUACGUAUAUGUAUAUAUAUAUAUAUAUAUAUAUUUUUUUUUUUUUUGAUUCAGUUCAGGAUUCCCGAACCAUUGAAUAUGUAAUCCUGAUUUCCGUAUCGAAAGGUUUGGGAUCAGUUCGGUAUGGAUCCCAAAAAUUUCGGUAUGAGAUCGAGAAUAUUUUGGUUUUGUUUAGGAUUUUCGGAAAAAAUUUCCAGCUCUACCAAAUUCCAAGUUUUUUUUUUCCAUGUAGAAAUUCUAAGUUUUUAUGUUUAUCAAUCCAAAUAAGGGAAUUGAUACAUGUCAAUUUAUAAAUUCUGACUUUUGUCAAAAUUUCAAGUUUAUUUCCCUUAUCCAAACAUAAUACAAUUCCCAAGUUUAAAUUCCAUGUAAAUAUGUGUCAUUUUCCAAUUUCUAUGAGUGAGAAUUUAAAAAUAACAAAUUCUGUAUUCAAAUUGCAUUGUUUUUAUAGGUUAACUAAAUAAGAAAUUCACAAAUUCUAGAAAAUAAAAAUCCAUCAUUUUAAUUUCCGUCAUUUUAAAUUCUUUGUAAUCUUAAAUUUCAUCCAAAUAGAGAGAUUUACAACGCAAAUUGGGCGGAAAAAUUUAAGAGCAAUUCCACCGGGAAGAAGAGAGCCCAGCACCCAGUCAAAAAACCAGGCUGGCACCCUGUCAAUUCACUCCAGCCUGUGAAAUCGACUGGCACCCAGCCCAAGCCAGUCCACAGGCCGGCCUAAAAUCGACAGACCUUGGGACCGGCCUAUCUGACGUCAGUGUGACGUCGGAGGGCAUAUGACGUCAGAGAGGGAGUUGUUGUGGAGGCUGAGGAGCGGAGCUGGUCGAGGCGGGAGAGGAUGUCGCGAGGGAAGGAACCACGGAGGGAGAACGACGGGAGGACGAAGCGACGGCGUCGGAGGUGUGGAGAUGCAGGAGGACGGCGUCGACGGCGUCGGAGAUGCAGGGGUGGACGGGACGGCUCGGAGAUGCAGGGGGAUGGCGUCGGAGAUGCAAGGGUGGAUGGCGUGCAGAAAUGGAAGGUUUUGAAGAGGAAGGAGAAGGUGAGCUCACGGGAGUGAGCUGGAAAAGAGAGAGAGAGGGAGGGAGAGAGAGAGAGAGAGAGAAAAGAAAGGAUCGGAGAGGGAAAGGAAGAAAGAAGAAAAAAUAAAAAAUAAAAUAAAUGAUAAAAUAUUAAUUGAUAUGAAUAAAAUAAUAUAAUAUUAGAUAGACUGGAUGCCAGCGUAUUUUUAGGGGUGGAGAUGCUUUGGCCUAUUACUGUUUACUGGGGUCUAUUACUGUUUAAUUGAGUGGAUAAAUGCGCUGGGUGCUGGCACAAAGUCCUUAGGGGUGGACUUGCUCUAAGGGACCAAAUGGAAUAGAAAACCACACUGGGACGGAUAAAAGUUCAAGGACCAAAAUGAAAUAAAUCUCAAAAUUGUAGGGUGAAAAUCAUGAAAUUAACCCAAAAUUAUAAGUAUACUAUUCCCCAACCCUCUCCCAGUCUCCCUUCAACCCGCUACCCUGCUCCUGCAGCCUCCUCAGUUGCUGCCUCCUUCCUGUUACAAUGGCGCCACCCCCUCUCUCGCGCGGAUUGAAGAGAAAAGCCAAGAAGCAGCAAAUUCAAAAGCAAGACGCAGAGCUCGAGCGCUUCGAUUCGCUCCCAUGGAACCCCUCUCUCCCCAACGACGACAACGCCUUCUCGCAAAUGGUCGGCAACAACGAGCUCGAAGGAGGUUCGUCGUGCCAUCUCUCUAUCCUAUUGCAUUGGUUGACUAAUGAUAACUACUGUUUAGACAAAUUGUGUUUUGUUUUUCUGUUUGGUUACUGGGAAAAUUUGGAAAAGAAAAUAGGGGAAAGUUGAUUUAUGGGGUUUAUGGGUUUUAUGUUGGCUGUUGUUAUAUGAAUGAAUGCAGGUUUCCUAAUGCUUGAGGAGAUUGACGAGGCCGCAUAUGGGUUUGAAAUUCCUGAACCACAAGUAGCAAAUAGGAAUAGCAAGGAAGACAGUAAGCAAAGGGAAAAGUCCAAGAAGCGGAAGCGCAGCAGUGGAGUUGAUGGGGGUGCUGGUGAUGGGGUUGAGGCGGAUGGCGAAAGGAUUUUGGGCAAGGAUGAUAGCGAGCUAAAUAAAAAGAAGAAAAAGAAACAGAAAAAGAAAAAGAAGCCGGACCAAGCUCAGAGAAUUGAGAAUGUUGAUGGAAAUGGUGACAAUGAGUUUGAAGAUAAAAGCAAGGAUGAGGAUGUGAAUUCUAAGAAGAAGAGGAAGAGGAAGACGUUGACGAAGAAGAAGAACAACGCCAAGAAGACCCUGGAAAAUGUGGAGAGUACAGUUGGUUAGUCGUCUAUUUUUUACUUCUAGGAAAUUUAGUGCUGUUCUUUAUUUUAUUUGUUUAUGUUUUGUUUUCUGCAUUGGUGCUGUGCUGUUUGUUAGACACUUUGGCAAUGGGCAUGCCAGUGACAAACUUGAUCGAAUUCAUGUGAUUUUAGAGCAUUGUCCUUGUUAACUUAUCAGGCUAUAAAUUGAUCUGUAGUACUAGUUUCAUUAGGUUUGGAUCAAAAUUGUUUGUGUUACUUAUGUUGGGAAGGAGAGAGUGAGAUGAGAAGGUAAAGAAGAAACGAGGAAGAGUAAAUACAACUAAAACUAAACAACUAUUUGAAGUUGGUUUUGGUUUUUAUUUAUAGACUGUCAGAUAUGAUGUUUCUCCUCUCCCCCUCAUCUUUGCCAGCACUCUUUUUACUUUCUUCUCUUAUCCAUAAUCUAAAUAACAAAGAAUUAUGAAAUGUGCCCUUAACAUGUUGAUGGAUUGGUGAUAAUCUCAAUUCAAUGUUAUUGUCAAACAUUACUUCGUGCAUAUUUAUGGAAUUAGGGAAAAUUUUCAGACUUUGAACUGCACUUUCAUUAUCUUUUCUUUGAUAAGAGGUGUACUUUCAAUUGAUUGAUUUUUCAGGCGAAUGACAUGGAAAUUUAUUGGUUCUGUAUAAAAUUUGAUGUUUCUUACUAAAACUAAACCCAUAUGGUAGCAUGUGUAAUUGCUUACUUUCUGGUCUUGGUUAGUCUGGUUGGGUGGUGCACCACCAUAUGUCGAUCACUUUUUCCUUCCACUCUCAUCACACAAAUUAAAAUAUUCACACGUUUAGUUCAGUUUUUUUAUCUUAUUGUAUAUUUUCUUGAAGCACUCAUAUUUUUGACAAUGCUUGUUGGACGUGCUAGACGUGCUAUAUUAAGAUACUCAUGUCACUUUCUGCAUUGAUGUAUGUGAUUCUAGAUGAUGAUAGCAAAGGAAAAACAGAAAUUGACAAAGAGAGUUUUGAUGAAGAUGAGUAUUAUGCAUGGCAUGAGUUGAGACUCCAUCAUCUGAUCAUGAAAUCAAUAUAUAGGCUUGGGUUCAAGAACCCAACGCCAAUACAAAAAGCUUGUAUUCCUGCUGCUGCUCAUCAAGGGAAGGUUGGUUAAGGUUAUUGUGUAAGAUCUUUGGUAGGCAAUGAUCAUUUCUUGUUUGGUACUCAUUAAAUUGAUUUAUAUGACAGGACAUUGUUGGUGCUGCUGAAACAGGGUCUGGAAAGACACUUGCUUUUGGUUUGCCCAUUUUGCAACGGUUAUUGGAUGAAAAAGAAAAGGCUGUAAGGAUGUUUGAUGAAAAGGGGGAGGAAGCAGAGAAGUUUUCUCCAAAAGGUCUUUUACGGGCCCUUGUCAUUACUCCCACAAGGGAACUUGCACUUCAGGUAACAAAAUUGCUUGCCAGUUGAUUAUGUUCAUGUAAUUUUUCCACAAAACGACAGUUUUCCUUUUCUGGAAACUCUUUUUUUAAGCCUUUGGUUUCUAUAAUAAAUGAAAGUUCAUUCCUACUGGAAUGAAUGAUUCCAUCCCUAUAUCAUCCAUCAGGAAUCCCACAUGUAUGGCCUACAUGGACUCCAUAUGUCUUUUUAUUUCUUUAUUUGAAGUUAACACCGAAGGCAUGUUUGCUUACUUCUUACUUUUAUAAUAAAUGAAAAGGAAUGGAUAUAUGAUAAACAAACCGCCCACCUACCCUGACCCACCUACUUCUUCAUUCCCUUGGUUGUUAGUAAACACAUGGAUAUGACUGAUACCAUUCCUUGUAAGUAAUCAUGCCGUAAAUGAACAAGAAUGAGAAGGAUUCCCAUUCCAUGCAAACAAAACAAGACAUGAGUGCAGGAACUACAAGCGUUUUUAUAUCGAGUACCUGAAGUUCCCCGAAGUCCUAUGUGCUACAUGUGCUAGGCGGAAGAAGCAUACAUAGUGGCUAAGUAAAUUUGAAGAGAAGCCAAUACAAUUGGAAGACCCUUGAUAAUAGCCAGACAAGAAGCCUGCAUUUCUAACACAUGCAUGUUUAAGCCCAACUUGUGAUCCUAAAAACGUGAAAGAGAUAUAUCUCCUUAAUAGUGUUAGAAUUGAUAACAUCACCCCUUAAAUCUGUUAUUCCCCUUGUCUUAAUUUUGCACCACCAUGACAUAGGAAUUGAGGAUUUUGUUAUUAGGAAUAAAAUCUUCAUGCAACCAAAGGAGAAGGGCAUUAUUGUGUUAUGAGGAUUAAGGUUUUUAGAUACCGUUUUACUAUGUAAUAUAACUGGAGAACUAGUAAAUAUACUAAGCAGUAACCUCAUAGAAUUUCGGUAGCUCUCUGGCCUCAUGUCAUUUUUAGUGACUAGAGCUUAUAAGUUUACCCUGUGAGCUUUCCAAGAGGGACUCUUCUGUACGGUAGAGCCUAUAAUAUUUCCUGACCAAUCCAUAUUGUUUUGGAGAAACUUUUUUGUAUUGCUUAAUGCAACAGUGGGAACAUGUAGUAGUAACUGAAGAAACAACAAACUACUACACUGUUCGUUUUUCUUGCCUCUGGUGUGCUUGUGUAUAUUUUCAUAUCAGCUUGUAAGAAAAUGAAAAGUUCUGCUGCAGCCAAUGGUAGGAUUGUUUAGGACUUAUAAUAGCAGGGCCAGAAAAGUUAGUUAUAGGUUCUGAAAAUCGUAAAGUGUCUCAUGUUUAUUCGCAUUCUAUGGAAAGCAACAGUUUGCUCAUGCCUUGCCCUUUUUUUUUUUUUUUUUUUUUUUAAACAGUAAUACUGAAAUUUCUUUUUGAAUAAGUUGAAAAUAUGGGUUUUGUGAACCUUGUUUGAUUCGGAAUCUGCAUGUUGAGAUUUUUGUUUUUUCAUUUCCAGGUCUCUGAUCAUCUUAAGGCAGUUGCCAAGGAUACUGAUAUUAGAGUGGUUCCAAUAGUUGGAGGGAUGUCAAAGGAAAAACAGGAGAGACUUCUAAAGGCUAGACCUGAGAUUGUUGUUGGGACUCCAGGGAGAUUAUGGGAACUUAUGUCUGGUGGAGAAAAGCAUCUAGUUGAGGUCAGUACUGAACUACUAAUAACAUUUGCUUAACGCAAGACAUUGACUCUGACAAUAAAUUUUGUUUUACCCUUUAUUUUUCCUGUUAUGAUGCAUGUCAGUAUGUUCAAUUUCUGAGUUAUCAUUUUUGUGCUAUGUGCUGUUAGUAUUCAUAUAUCGUGUUUUUGCGUGAUGAUUAAAGUAGUAGUUUUUUUUCUCUUUAAGAUGGACUACUAAAGACUAGAUCUAGGAGUUCAAGAUUAGCUAGACUUGUUUACAUGUGUACUGAUUGUAUUCUGCAGUUGAUCACGCAUAACUAUGUUACCACAGGUUCACAAGUUUACCACUAUAAAAAAGGUGCAAGUAAUUACUUCAUUAGAAAACUGGAAAUAUAAAAAAGGUUGAACCUUUUUUUUUUGUUUAAUCACGCUGAAGGAACCUGUGAUAUCAUACAUGUAUGCUAAUAUAAAUGUACGUAGCCUUGAUUGGAAGAGGCUAUCCUGUUCUAGCUUUUUCACUGGUCCAUAAUUUAGAAAGAAUAUGAUGACUAGUCGCAAUUGCGGUAUCAAGUAAUGCUGGUGCUCAUGCUCAUUAAUGAGCUAGAUGCAUGCAUACACCUUUGACAUGUAUAGAUAAACUGUUUUUUGACUAAAUUUUUCUGUUUUUGCAGUUACAUUCGUUGUCUUUCUUUGUGCUGGACGAGGCUGAUCGAAUGAUAGAAAAUGGUCAUUUUCAUGAAAUGCAGUCAAUAAUUGACAUGCUUCCAGUGAGGAAUACAUCAACUGAAUCCCAUUCUGAAAAUGCACAAAAUUCUGUUGCAAUGUCCAACUUCCAGAGGAAGAAAAGACAAACAUUUGUUUUCUCUGCUACUAUAGCACUUUCUCCUGAUUUCCGUAAGAAGUUAAAGCGUAGUUCACAAAAAACCAACCAAUCAAUGUCUGAUGGGGUGAAUUCUAUAGAAGCUCUAAGUGAGCGAGCAGGGAUGAGAGACAAUGUUUCCGUCAUUGAUCUGACAAAUACAUCCAUUUUGGCAAAUAAGCUUGUGGAGUCAUUUAUUGAGUACGUGCCUUUCACCUAUCCAUCUAUUAUCUGACACGAUGAACUCUUUUUCUUGAGACCUAUCCAUCUAUUGUCUGACAUGAGGAACUCUUAUUCAGGAGAAUCCAGUUCACCUUACCGACUGUCAUUUUAGAGUAUAAUGCUUUCAAUCUAUUUUUUUUCCAUUCAACUUUGUGAACUCUCUCUCUCUAAUAUAUAUAAUAUUUAUGUAUGUCUUUCAUGCAUACUUAAGUAACAUAUAUACACAUAGGCCUGUUGGUGGUUUCGUUAGUAACUAAUUUAGCAGCAGGACAUCUGACACCUUAGAUCCACUAUGUAGGUUAACGUACUCAAUCCACUAUGCAUCAUAAGUAAUAGAUUGUACUUAUGAAAGUGUCUAUUCGUAGUCUUCACUUUAUUAAUUCAGCCAUUUACUUUUUAUUUUUUGAAAUUUCUGUUUAUCUAUUGAAUUAUGCGAAGCUUGAUAUGUUUGGUUCUCUUUAUACCUUAACUUGUUUUCUGGUUAUUCCUACAGAAGUUGGUAACACAAUUUUUAUCUUUCCCCAAGAACACUAUAGAUAUCUGGUAAUUUGCCCCCCCAAAAAUGUGAUUAUACAAUUGAUGCCUUUUUCUUCCCUUCGGUUGGACCACAUGUUCGAAAGAGUUAGUGCAAAUCAUUUCUAUACCUUAGUUUAAUUGGUUCAUGCUUGGUGACUAGCUCCAUCUAUGGUUCAAUGCCUUCGUCAUGGAUGCAAAGAAGGAAAGUAUAUUUAUUUUAGGCCUGAGCACAAACCUAAUCUCCAUGUUAUGAUUUAGGGUUGAGCACUCAUUUCUGUUACUAUUUAUUUUUGUGUUGGCUUUCAGUUGUCAUGUUAUUCAAGUGUUCCUUUUUGGGUAUUUUUGGUAUCUUAUUAUUUUUGGACUGCUUGUAUAAAUUGUAGUAGGGUUGAUGAUCUUCUCACAUUAUUCAAAUAUUGGUUUGAACUUAUCCCAGUUUUUCUGUCUCCUUGUAUUUUUAUCUUUUUUCUUGUUGUCUGCCUUUUUUGUUUUCUCCUUCUCUAAUCUUUUUCUCUUUAUUUUUACUUCAUUCUCCUUUAGUUUAUCGCCCUUUACUGCAUCCUUAUUAUUUCAUGAUAGCAAGUAGUAAUAUUUUUUCUUAGACAAAAUUAAAUUACAAGAAGACUAUGGGCAAUAGGUUUGUCAGUGAUCAGACAUAGAUGCUCAAACAGUGAAUUCCUCUCCCUGUUUUCGUUCAUUCGUACAUGUGAAGCCUUCAUGCCAUUUUUUUUCCUGUUAGCUUCCUGUCAUUUGCUGAUAUCCUACACUAAGUUUGCACUUUAUGUAUAUGCUUAAUCGUAAGAAUGUGAAUCUCAAGAAAGGUCCUUGGAAGACAAGGAUUGCUAUUUCUGCUAUUGCAGACCUCGAAAAGGUGGCCCCCUUUUUGGCUAAAAAGGACUUGAUAACAAACAAUGACAUAUCAGAAAGCUCUGUAUUUUCAGUCUUCCCUUGGCUCUCUAUGAUGCCUACAGUCUUUAUGUUUUUCUUUUGCUAAAAAAUAGAGAGGAUUUUCUUGCACUGAGUUACCUAAUAGCUUUAGUGGCGAAGUAGUGGUCCUCUUAAGACACAGAGUGCUGUUUCCUCCAAUGCAGGCCUCAGAUUGUCUUCUUUCCUUUUUUAAGAGAGGACCAGAUAACAAAUAAUGGCAUCUCAGAAAGCCAGUGCUUUGUAUCUUCAAUCUGCUCUUGGCUCGCUAUGAUGCCUACACUUUUUAGUAGUUUCCUUUUGUUUUAAAACAAGGUAAGUUUUGUUAAGCCAAGUUUCAUAGUAAAGGAGUCCUCACAAGACACUGAGUCUCGUUUCCUCUAAUUCAGACCUAGGAAGAGUGUCCCUUCUUUUGACUAAAGACAGUGCUCUCUACUUUAAUCUGCUCUUGCCUCACUAUGAUGCCUAGACUCUACAUAUUUUUACCAAAGGUUUAUAUAAUAAAGAAAAUCUUCUAGCACAGAGGUAUGCAAUACCUUUUGGGUGUUAAAUAUAGAAAGAGAAAACUUCCUCUGUAAGAUUUACAAUUGUAUUGAAUGAAUAAUUCAGUUACACAGAUGUGAAUAUAUAUAGCCUUAGCUACCUUAGGCUAGUUACAAUAAUACCCUCAACUACCUUAACUAAUUACAGGUACUAAUAAAACUAACUACACUUAGCUUUAACAAACUAUUUUUCACUAACUAUAUUGGAUGAUUUGUCAUGGCGAGAUACCAUAGAGAAAGAGAAAACUUCCUCUGUAACUAUAUUGGAUGAUUUGUCAUUCUCCUUAAUAUUAAAUAUGUCCUGUUAACACACUGAGUGCUGUUUCCUCUAAUCCAUAGCUUGGAAGGGUGUCUACUUUUUUGGCUAGGGGAGGACCUGAUAACAAACAUUGGCAUAUUAGAAAGCCAGUGUACCUUCAAUAUGCUCUUGGCUUGCUAUUAAUCCACACUCCUUCGUGGUUUCUUAUUGUCUAUGAAUGAGGAAACUUUCUUACACAGUUGUCCAUUAGUUGUAUGUAUGUACUUAAAUAAUCUUGUAUUAGAUUCAUUUAUCUGGGUGAAAUUGUCAGAUCUUGAUAGUGUCAUGUGAAAUUGUAGAUGUUUAUAUUUCUCUGAAAUCAGAUUAGUCACAAAGUCAAGCGAUUAUUUUAUUUUAUUAAAAUAUUGUUUCUAACUAAUUAGAGGAGUGUUAGAUUGAGUCAAUCACGUUGUAAGUAAUUUUUUCUUUGCCAAUCGUUUGUGGAGCUAAUAUUUGAAUCGUGAUGAACAAUCUUUACGAAUAUUUUCUUUUGUAGAUAGCAACUCUGGGGUAGGCAUUGACUAUUGUUAUGCUACAUGUCGAAUUUUUUUCUCAAAGCUUUUAACUCAAUGUUAUUCUUUAUGUAUCUUAUUAUAUGGUUGACAUUCACCAAAUAUAAAUUUGAGUGAGAUGACCAUUUGGAGUUGGAGAAGGUCUAGCAUUAUAAUGUAUCAAUCUUGUUUGAUCAUUCACCCUUACUUAUGUGGUAAUGCUUGGGUUCAUUUGGCAUAGCCGCAUGGGUCAUGGGUUUACUUGGUGGUAGAUGGGUGGCUUUUGCAGUCUUCUUCCCUCCUCCAAUGCCUAUGCUUUUAAAACUCUUAAGAUUUAUGUAUUAAGCUAUGCAAUCUUACGACCCAAAUUUUCUUCUUUUAUUGGAAUGUUGCAAUAUGUCAGUGACAUUUUGUAACUAUCGACUUUGUAAAGUGGUAACAAACUUCCUAACAUAUGGUUUAGCUUGCAUUAUGGCUCAUGAGAGUGUUAAUACAUGUGUCUUGGAUGGUUCAGAGAAGGAGACUUCUUUCUCCCCAUGGCUGUGAUAUGGUAAAAAUGUAGCUGAGAGUGUGGGUCAUCUCCUCUCUACCCAGUUUAGGGAGUCUAAUUUGAGCUGGGAGGGUGUAGUUUCGGUGAGAUGUGCUGUACAGAGCUCUUUUUUGGUAAUGCUUUUGAUGUAGGAAAACAGAAUUGUGUUUGAUGUUGAUCAGGUGGAGGAGAAGGUAUAAUUGUGAGAGAGACCUUGAUUUUGGGCAUCGAUGCAGAGUUUUGGUGCAUUUCUUGUAUGCUAUCUUUUUAGAUUGGAGAGAUUCUGUUUUCUGGUGCUUUGUUCUGCUGUUCUGGACUUUGUUUUCUUUUAGUGCAGUGGGCUGUUCAUCCUCUGUUUCUGUAUAUGUUCAUUUUAAUCAGUUAUGUUUAUAAACUUUCUUCAAAAAAAAAAAAAAAAAAAAAAAAAAAAAAAAAGGAAAGAAGCACUCAUGUCUUAUAUUAGUUUAUUUAUUUUUUCUUUCUAUUUUGUAAAAAGAUACAGCAUUUUGUUGUUAGUUGAUUUUGUUUGAAAUCUAAAGGGAAAUUGUAAUGGUAAUUAUUUGGGGGUAAUCGGAAAAGUAAUUUUUAUCUAUGACUGUUGGGUAUUGAGUUGCAAUCGUCUUAUAAAGAUGCCUAGAUCAUACUUUUCCAUGACUGCCUUGACCCUUAAGUUCACAAUCCCUUACCUAAAGGUGACAUAUUCUGCCUUGUAUAUGCAGAAUUAGCUAUAGCCUGCCCUUUGUAGCUCUGUUGAAUGGGCUUAUGUUAUUGUUGCAAUUAUCUCACUAGGUUCUUUCAUAUCUUAUUAUAAAAUGACCAGGAAAGUUUAGGUUUUAGCUUACGGUAGUGGUUUUAGAGUCCCAUUUUUUCCGUAUACUUCUUGAUUUUAGCCGACCCCACUUAGUGGGAAAAGGCUUUGUUGUUGUUGUACUUCUUGAUUUUAGGCUUUCAUUGUCCCUUUGUUUCCUCAAUCACCAAGCAUAGAAAUAAGAUAUAGGAGUGCAAAUGGACAAAAUGGGAGUGUUGAAAUUUCCACCCUGAGGUUAAACUUUGCCUUGGCGGUAGAGUAGACUUUGCCUCAAGUUAAAUAUACAUCCACUGAUUUGUUCUAAAGGCAACCCAGUCAAGUCUUUAUAACUAAGAAUAUAAAUUGGGGCCAGUUGUAUGAAUCCACGAGAAGUACUUGUGUUGUGCUAUAAAGUUGCUUAGCCAUUUCAUUUUGUCUCUCGGGUUUUAGUUCAUGAGCCUUUCAGCGGAUUGUUACUUAAUCAUUUUAGGAUUGCAGAUGCAGGGAAGAAGAUAAAGACGCCUACCUGUAUUAUUUUAAGUGUUCAUGGACAAGGUCGCACAAUUGUAUUUUGUACAUCAGUUGCAGCUUUGCGACACAUAUCAUCACUCCUGUGCAUUCUUGGCAUCAAUGUCUGGACACUUCAUGCUCAGAUGCAGCAGCGAGCUCGCUUGAAGGUUUGGCUUUCACUUUUCCAAUUAAGUUAAAUAAGGUUGUACCAGAUAUGUAUUGCGAAGAAAAAGUUAUGUUUAAUAUUUAUUCAUUAUGGUGAGAGACAAAUUCAGAUUUGGAGUGUAAGUUUCGGCAAUGUGAAUAAAAAAGGUCGUACCCAGUGCACAAGGCUCCCGCUUUACGCAGGGUCUGGGAGAGGUGAAUGUCGGCUAGCCUUACCCCCAUUUAUGAAGAGGCUGCUCCCAAGUCUCGAACCCGAGACCUACCGCUCAUGGGCGAAGGCACUUGCCAUCGCACCAAGUUUCGGCAAUGUGAAUGCUUGAUAAAAAUUGUUUAGUAUUCAAUACUAUUAAAUGGUUAUUUAGGAAUGAAAUGAAAAUUUGAAGUUCAACAUUUUCACUUGAAGUUUUGGAGGAGCUGAAGGAAAUGGAUUUAUUUUAAAGAGAGCAGUUAUAUGAUGAAACAAAUACCUAUUUUUCAAAUUAGUAUAACUCCAGCGAAUCGAACUAUGAAAUGCAGAGGGAUUCUUCUUUUGUUUUGUUUUUUUUUCUUUUCUUUUUGGUACUUUUCAAUCAUCUUACCAAACUUGCUAGAGUUCGAUCUGAAAUGUGUAUAAUAUUUUUUUGACCUAGCCAACAUGACUAUGGACAGAUCCGAUGGCUUUUUCCUUUCUCCUUUCAUUACGAUAGGACGAAUAGUAAAGUUUUACUAAUUGUUUUCUUUUCUUGCUUGGUAAAGAGAAUAAAAAUUUGAAAGGCUUCAUCAAAAAAUAUUGUUAUUGUGAACUUCCCAUAUUGUACUGUGCUUCUGGCCGGAUGGAGAUGUAGACACAAUUUUCUAUUUAGUUAGGAUGUGGUAUUUCCUUUCGUUGGAUAAUCAUUACCAGCAGAGUUUUCCUUUCAUUUUGUUUCAAAAGUAUAAUCCUGAUUCCAGAUCCCUGGUCAUAGACUUGAAAGCUUACCACUCUUCAUCGUGCUGAAUGCAGGCAAUUGAUCGUUUUCGUGGAUUUGAACAUGGUUUACUUGUGGCUACUGAUGUUGCAGCAAGAGGCCUGGAUAUUCCUGGUGUUCGAACUGUUGUUCACUACCAGCUUCCACAUUCAGCAGAAGUAAACAUCUGGAUGCUUUUCACCAUGUUUGAUGAGGGCCUCCAUUUGCUGACGGGUGUGUUGAUAUUUUUCUGUUCACUAGGUUUAUGUUCACAGAAGUGGUAGAACUGCUAGAGCUUCUGCUGAUGGGUGCAGCAUUGCACUAAUUGCACCAAAUGAGACCUCCAAAUUUGCUUCUUUGUGCAAAUCAUUUUCUAAGGUAGCAAUUUUGAAAAGAUGGCAUUCUUUUGAAUUUUACAUCAAGGAAAAAUUAAGUGCUACUUCGAAUUUAUCAGCCACAGCAAUGUUUUCAGUCCUGUGAUUUCUGUCCACAAUUAUCCUUAUUAUGUUUCUUCUUCUGUACCCAGGAAAGUUUUCAGCGAUUUCCCAUGGACAGCUCAUACAUGCCUGAGGUCAUGAAACGGUUAUCUCUUGCACGUCAAAUAGACAAGAUUAUGCGGAAAGAUUCCCAGGUAUUACUUCAAUUUAGAUUUUUACAGUGCAAUUCUAGUGUCAACGGGACUGCAAAAUUGGUUGGUCCGGUCUGACUUGGCUUGAGGCAUGAAAGGGUAGGCCUUACCCACCCUAGGGUUCAAUAAGAUUCAAACCCUUUUCAGGCAGAGAUUCCUGAUCCAAUUGAGGAAAAGCUAGGCCUAGGAGGCUAGGCCUAUGCCCUAGUCCAAACGAUUGAAUGGGCCAUAAGAACAAGCCUAGAACUCACAAGGCUUUACCUGACUCUUUAACAUUUUUUUUAUUUCAAAAGUCAACUAAUUAGAUAGUUAAAUAAUCUAUAUUAUUACUAAAUGAAAUCUCUUUAACACACACGCAUACACACUCCAAAAAAAGACAUGAAUCGUCAACCUAAAUAUCGAAAAUGUCAGGUUUAUCAUUUGUACAUUAAAAUUUUUUCAAUGAUAUUAUGUUGAACAAAUAUAUGUUAGUUGACUUAUCACUAUACAAAUAACUUACUACUAAUAUAUGUUGAACAAAUACAAAUAACUUCAAUUAUCACUAUACAAUAAUUUAAUCCUAAAAAAAAAACUAAAUCUUAUAAUCUAAAGAUAACAUAAAGUAUAACGUAUUGUAAUAUAAGGCUCAACUCAAUAGGCACAAGCCGCUCAACACAAGUCCCAGCCAAAUUGGCCUUGUGUUGUGCCUAAUGCCUUUUGAGAUGGGUCUGGCUCAGUCUCAACCAACUGGUUAUGGAUUGUCAUGCUUUUGUAUGCCAUUGGACCCGCUUCAUACAUCAUGCCUAAACAAUAAAAUAAGGUGGGUCAUCACGCCUUGGGUUAAUUUUACAGUCCUAAUGAAACCUGUUAUCUCGUCACUGAACACUGGUUGUGUUGAUUGAAGAGGGUAUUGAAGCAUUGAUUAGUUAUUCCCGCACAAGUUUCUUAACCGGUAUCUUUCUAUUAGUCCUUUACUUGCUAGGUGUUUAUUGUUUUUCUUUCUUAGAUUAGAAGUUAUUAAUCUGCUAAUUCUUCUUUCUUCUUUGUGCCUUACCUGCUCUGCUGUAUCUAAUUGUUAUUAUCAUAUUACUCUUCAGUUUUUUUCCAUUUCUCUAAAUUAUGUUUGAUCUGCAUAUUUUCUAGUCUACUCUUAUUCCCCUUCAUGUCUUGUACAAAAUUUUCUCGUGAUGAAUUAUUGUUUAAUCUUAUUUUCUUUUUAGGAGAAAUCGAAGAAAAAUUGGGUUGAAAGAAAUGCAGAAUUGAUUGAAUUGGUUGUGGACCAUGAUGACAGUGAGGAGGAAAGGGUGAAAAGUCAUAAGCAAAAGAAAGCCAGCUCUGCGAGUUUAAAGAAGUUGCAGCAGGUUGCUAAUACUAUAAACAUUCUGAUUUCUGAAAGUGCCUCUUAUGAUUGUUCUGUGUCCAUAGUCUAAAGUUUGGAGCUAUAUCAUCUGAUCUACUUUUGUUUGGAAAACAGGAGCUCAAGAUGUUACUUUCGCGACCAUUACAACCGAAGUCAUUUUCACAUCGUUAUUUGACAGGGGUAACUAUCUCAGGACCUUAAGUGACUUUCCUUUUGAUUGGAAAUGAUCUUAUUCACUUUGACCUUCAUUUCUAGAAGUUAUUUGUUAAUUGUUGUUCUCUUGCCAAAAUGAGUUUUCAUGCUAUCAUUUUAUUUAAACGUAGAAACAAAAACUAAUAUCCAUGAAAAGAAAGAUGACUUACAAGGAAAGAUAGGAUAUCAGUCUAAGCUUGACUGAUAGCUAGAGCGUAACAUUCAACUCAAAACACCCACCUAAUAAGAUUAAAUGCAUUGAAUGGAGUAUCCUCGAAAUACUCAGAAAACGAGUAUACUGUCCUGCAAAGGAAGGGCCAAAUAUGGCACCUCAUAAUUGAAAGGCCAUUUGAUGUAGAAUGCACUAGGAUUUUUACUCUAAUAUAGGGCUAUCUUAGUAUGUUGCACAUUUUUUUCCCACCUUUUUCAUAGUUGCUUUAUCACUUCUGUUUGUAACCUGACAUCUUAAUAACCAUCUUUUCCCAUUUGAGGUUUCGGAGAGUUUUGGAAUUGAACUAAUGAUUGGUUGGCACGACCAUAUACGAUGAGUAUGAUCUCCACCAAGGAGUAUUUUGAUUGAUGCAUAUGUAACUUUAUAAUGGGUUUCAGCAUCGUUGUGUUUGCAUCUAUGGCCACAAAUAACAUUAUUUUUCAGUACAUGAGAUUGAUCCUUUGUUUUAUCAUUAUUUUUUUCAGGCUGGUGUGUCACCUUUCCUGCUACAUCAAUUCGAAGAAUUGGCUAAGCAAAAAUUUGGUGAUGGCAGUGACUCGGGAGAUAAGAAAAGAAGCAAAUUGGUAGUUAUUGGUCAGGAUUGCGUGGAACCACUCCAGGCACUUCGGAGUGCUGGGCAUGAGGUAGUACCUAGAUGCUAGAGUCAUAGUCUGUGUACUUAUUCUUCCUGUGAUCUGAUUUUAAAUUUUUAUUGCAUGAAUGGAUGAUAAAUUAUAAUUACCAUAAGAUUAUCAGCUGAUGUAUGAGAAUGUGAUAUUGAAAUUACUACGACAAAUUAUUGGAUUACUUUCAUUUUACAACACUUUAUUGUGGUGAAUAAUAAGCCCUCAAAAUUAGGAUUUUUCAUUUUAUAUUUUAUGUCCGUUCGAGUUCCAGUAUUUUACACUCUUUCUCAUUCAGGUACACAUUGAUGGGAAAGAGGUGGCUCAAAAGCGAAGAAACAUGGUGACUCUGAGGAGGAAAAGAAAAGAGGAGAAAACACGUACAUUCUUUUUCCUUUUUCUCUCUGUUUUUGGGUGGAGGAUGUGAGGGGUGGUUGGGGUUUGGCUUCUGUGGGCUCUGUUUGUAUUGAUAUUGUUAUUCCUUUCAGGUUUGAGAGAUCAACGGAGAAAGCGGAAGAAACAGAUGAAGGGAGGAGAUUGAGCUGAAUGGCUGAUUGAGAUUUUGUAGUUCUGACGUUGAUAAUCUAGGUCAAACAGCAUAUAUCGUAGGACGAGGUAUUAUCUCAAAUUUGUUCAAGAUUGUUGAACUGGAAUAAUGGAGCUCCAAGUGACGGCAAUUUCGUUAUCUCAUUAUGUUUUGGUAAAGUAAUGUGCUUAAUGAGCAUGCAAUGCAAGCAUUUUGAAAGGCAAGGUGCUUUUAAUGUCGCUAUUCGGGUUAUCAUUUCAGCUUUCAGUAACGUAUAUUUCAUGCUGUAACUUGGGAGUUUUGUUUUUGAACAAAUGAUAUUAUCUAAACUAAAGGGGAGGGGGAUGAGCUUAGCCUCGUAAUGGGCUAGCAAUAAUGUAGUUCAAAUUCUCCUUUCGCGUGAAUCGAAUCUAAGACCUCUUAUUUACAAGUGAAAAUGAAUACCACUAACAAAAACACACGAUUGAUAGGAGAGGGCAUUAGAUGAACAUCUCAAUUGGAUCUACCAAAAUUGACCCCCCAUGUCUUCUUUUGUUGCCCAAAUCCCGUUAAAACUUGAGGAAAAGAUGAAGGUAGCUUACUGUUGGGGCUCAAAAAUGUCAUCUACAAGUCCAAUCAUCUGUAGUUUUCCUUUUUGAAAAGCAUUACUGGAACAAAGACUACUUUUUCAUAGUGGCAACAACUGCAAUCAGAGCCCGUACAAAAGUAAUGCCUCAUAGCCCAAUCAUUGUGGAAGCGUCACAAGCCAAGCUUAAACUCAUGCAUAAAGUAUGAAAUGAAGAGCAUGCAUAUUUAUGAUCAUGCCAAGUCCUAUUAUAAUAUUAAUACAUUAAUAUUAUGAUAAGAGUCAUGCCAUGCUUAAAUGAGCCCAAGCCACUUAACGGGGCUUGCCGAGUGGUUUGUGGUGUUGAUGGAUAUGGAAGUUCACUAGGCCUACGUGGAAUUAGGGAUAUGGAAGACUUUGGAUUGCUUAGGGGCCCAAGGAUCCAAGCCUAUACCCUUUGCAUUUCACGCAGGCAAGCAUUGAGAGAGAAUUAGCCUAGUUUGCCUAUUUCCCUAGCAAGCCAACCCUCUUAGUUAGGACCAAACUAGAUUUUAGCAUUAAAUGCACUCUAAGCCCAUCAAGUCAGGCAUUUAAUGCUGACUUUCGCUUCCUAACUUGCACAGACAACCAAUGCAUGAAAGCCACAAGGCGCGCUACUUGAAGUAGCGUCUACGGAAGGCUGGCCCGGGAAAGCCGCGCCUCAGGAAGAAGCAUAAUGCAGGUUUCAACACUGUAGCUACUUUACACCAAAAGGGAAAUAGUAGGAGAGCUCGGGAGAAAGGAAGGGGUAGACCAAGCCACAAAAGGAAAUCCCUUUGAAGCCUAGAGAAGAAACUAAUAAAUUCUCUGGCUGGAGCCUAGAAGAAUCCCUGCUUCUAUAAAUACAGAAUCAGUACGAUGUAAAGAGGGAGAGACACAACUACGAGAGGGAAGAAGAACGACAAGGGCAAGAAUGCACCACACAUAGCAAGCUUCCUCUAAGUGUAGAAAAUCCUAGUUCUUUAGAGAUAAGCCUUCAUUUCACCCUGAGCCUUCCAAUAAUCUUCUUUAACUCCUGCAAAACCAUCACAAACCCUAGAUUAGCUAUUUCGAUACCAUACAACCAAUAACAACCUCUCUCUAGUGGGCUUUUAGCUUCCACACCAUGCAUCAUUCGUGCAAAUCAUAAUUUAUUGUGAUUACUUAGUUGUUCUUAGUAUUUGUUAGUUUAACACUCCUCAAAGCUGCCAAGAUCAGCGCCUAAGGAAGCACUCCGUUAGCGCUCAGGGAAGCACUCCGUUAGCGCCCAUGGAAGCACUCCAUCGUGCCCAGUGAAACACUUCAUCAGCAACUAGGGAAACAUUCCAUCAGCACUAAGGGAAACAUUCUAUCAGCACUGAGGGAAACAUCUCAUCAGCACUGGAAGUACUCAACAUAACACCAGACCAAGCAUCCAGGAGCUGCUGGAAGAAGAACAAAGCAUUCCCUAGGACUUGCUUUCCCUUCGAGAUGCUUUGGGCCUAUUCCUCACUAACUCGGCAAUGGGGGACAUGAAGGUUUUGACUCGUCUCUUUACAACAAAACACCAUCGUAGCCUUUGACACAAAAGCAUCCCCAACACUCACCAAAGCCUUGCCCAAAUUAUAAGAACAAAAUAUAACAUUAUAAGGCCUUGUUUGGUGUUUAGGUAGUUGACAGUCACUUCGUUCAACAAACUAGUGAGUUAUCCAGUUUAAUCCUAAACACCACACGACACAUAAGUACAUAAUGAUAUUUAGUAGAUAGCCCAUUUUGUUCUAUUGAAAAUUAUCAAUAGGCUUUACAAGUACUUCGGGACAGUACUAGAAGUUGAAUCGUACUUGACUACUUAAGGAUGAGUAGGAAUUCUUCCUCAAAAAUUUUCGUACCCAAUUCACAAGACUUUGGGCUUGUGAUUUGAAUUGGUCAUUAUAAAUCAUUAUGUAAGGAUCAUUUCUGCUAAAAAAUAAAUUAAAGUAAAGGUCGUUUAAUCAAUCAACUGUAGCAAAUAGAUUGACACUUUGUUUGGAAAUCGAGUUUACCAAGAAAUUGAUUAUUUUUCUUCACUAGACUUCCUUCGAUAGAUCAUCAAACAUUGUGAGAUGAUUUUUUCUUGUUAAUAUUCACAAAAGAUUGAGAAUGUCCACCUCAAAACACAGGACUUCGGAUGUGGGGAAUUUUUUUUUAAUCACUCGAGCUACAAGCCCUUGUUGCAAUAAACUGAAAACUAUGCACAUGUUUAAUAGCUAGCAAUUUUAAAAUUCUCAAAAUUUUCGGCUCUUUUUUGCAAAUGCUCGACGAAGGAGGUGUGUUUGGCUUGGACUCAACUUCUACUUAUAAAGAAAAAAUGUUGGAUAAUAAUGUUGGAAAUAAAAAAUGAUUACAUUUAGAAAGAUGGAGAAUUUAAAAAGUUAUAAAGAAAAUCCGAAAAAUAAGAUUUUCAAUGGGCAGAUAAUUCAUAGAGAUACAAGCAAUAAUAUGUAUUCUCGAGAAAUAUAAUAUGUGUAAGAACAUGCAAUAAUAUGAAUUCUCGAAGAAUAUAAUGCAUUAUUAUCGAUGCAAAUUUCAGCCGUCUUCAGUCUUGACGAAAAUGCAUCUGCAAAACAAUCAACACCUUUGAUCAAAGACCUAAGCCUUAUGCGCCCACGAAGUUGGGGGGGGGGGGGUUAGGCCAAUGGAUCUUCGAUGCCUAAAUCAGUUUCUCUAAGGAGAGUAAAGUGUUUAGGGCUUUUUAGGGUAGCAAAAGCUUCUAAAAUUUGGUAGAAUAAGCGGUAUAUAUAGGAGGGGAGGGCCGGCCACAGUGUUAGGGUUUUACCCUACAAAUGGCGGCAUCCUAUUGGAUAAGGUUUAUGGAGAAAUAUUCUCAAGAUAUUAGCUAGGAAGGAAUAUCUUGAGAUAAUGGAGUAAUUAUCCCUAAUUAAUUUAAAUUGGGAUUACUUACUUGAAUGGAGUCAAUCUUCAAUUAAAAAUGUGUUAAAGUUAGGAUUUAGGUAAUUAAUUAAUGCUUUGACUUUUCCUUACCAAGGGUAGGUAAGCUGUGGGCAGUCAUAUUCAACUGCUGGGACAUUCAGGGGUGUAAGAUGUGCGUGGGAGUAUCUGAGGAGCUUGCCCAUUGAAUGAGGGCAAUUUUGUCUUUCUUGGGCAAAAGUCCACGUGUCACCUCUAGAAUUUUUGGGAUUAUUUUAGGCUCCACAAAUGCCCCACACCUGCUGGGCUGCACGUAGGAAAAAGGGUAGUAGGUGUAGAAAUCCAAGCUGCAUGGGCUUGUAGAAUUUGAACUAGAUCUCCUUUCUUGAUUUGGAGAUAGACUUCUGCUAGGAAAAGGAAACCAAUUGCCCCCGAUACCAUUUAAUUCUGCGUUAAGCAGGGGAUUAAAUAAUUUUGGAGAACUAUCAUCAUUCCAACAAGGAAGAGAGAAACCAGAGGAAAAUUCCCCCUACCCUAGCUUUCUUCUCUUGCCCUUCCAAAGAGUCGUCUCUCAUUGUUGUUCUUCUUCUUUGUGCCGCACCAAGGUAAGAAAAAUUUGAAUUUUCUUUUUCUUAAUUUUUUGGGAGCCUUAGGGCUUGAAAACUUGGCUAAGCUGGGUCGAGGAUGUGUGAAACACAUGGCAAAGGUGCCAAGAGGCUACUGGUGGUGCGACAUUGGGUUAGCUCGGCUUGGCCGAGGUGUUGGCAGCGCGAGCUAGGCUCUGUGCGCAGCUGACGUGGGUCAGGUGAUGGCUCGGCACGGGUCGAGAGCGUAGGGGAACGGUGCUAGGCUCGGGCUCGAUGGAACUUGGAAGAAAGGAAAAAGGGAGAGACCGGCAUGGGCCGGCUCUCGGGUCUUGGUGGCUUGGGCUGAGAGGCUUAGGCCUUGCUGGAGUGCGUUGGGCGGAAAUGAGGAGAAUGGAGAGAGGCGCGGGCUUCCUCCCUUGCUGGUGGACCGGGUCAAAGGGCCCUUGGGCUGGCUGCGGCACACUGGGCGUGAGAGAAAGUGACCCGGGUUUGGGCCAUGAGGUCUGGCUUGUUGUUAGGCUCCUGUGCUUUGGGCCUAUGUUGGAAAAGAAAGAGUGAGGGCUGGGCCCUCUUGUGGCCUAGACGUUUGGGUGAGCUAAGCCGUAGGGUCUAGCGCUAGGGCGUUGGGCUCUAUGGUCAUAUAUAUAUAUAUUUUAUUUCUCUUCUCGCGAGCUGGCUUCUAAAUAUUUUUCUUCGUACUUUUUGCAGAGGUUUUGAUAUGUUUUCCUCUGAUCGCAAAAGUGACGAUACCCUCCACCUUUGUAUCGUCAAGGUGGUUCUUCUUGAGACGUACAAGCAUGCGAUUCUAUUAGGGGUUCGCGUCAACCGGGUGAAGGAUGAUAGUGGCCAUGAACCGUGUGGCGAGGGUGCCACUGUUAGGAAGAGGGUUAUCAAAUUCCAUCCUUAUUACUUCGUGUUGUGAUUUACUUUGUUUUUCAAGAGGUGAUAUACUCCAUGAAAUGUGGGCCUACUCAAUGCUCCCCGAAUGCAGUUCGUGUGAUGGUAGGGUUCUUGAACUUGAUGAGGUUCUUUGAUCUUGGCUUGACCAUAAAUGAGUUCUAGUACUUCUUCAAAAUCGACCACAAGGAAGGUGUGGGGCAGCUGAGGUCUCACCAUAGGCUGCUUAAUGCUUCCUGCGAAGGUGAUCUGAUGUCACCAUGGAGGUCGAUAAGUUAUCUCGUACGUUUGUGAGAAGCUUGGUAAAACUUGUUUUUGUGGCAUGACGGGACUGGCUUAACCAUUCUUCUCAUGCUAAAUUAGGUUGGAAAAUUUAACUACGUUAACUAAUGAUUAGUUGGUCCGAGUUAAACACAAAAAUAACUUAAAUUGUUCACGUUUUAAUACUUUAAUAAUUUAUUAUUAUUUUUUUUAAAAGGUAAGUCUCAUUUCAAAAGUAACAACAAAUUAUAUGGAAUUAUGGAUGGUCUUUGUAAUUGGCUAAGUGAGUGAUUAAAGAACGGGAAAUCUGAGACAGCAAGAGGAGAGUAACUUCUAUGGCAAGAUAAUAAAUCAUUAUGGCAUCUCGUGUUAACCAAACGUCAUGUGAGUUACUUUUGAAAUGAGACACAACUUUUCAAGAAAAAAAAAAAUCAAAGUAUUUAUGAACAAUUUAAGUCACUUUUGUGUUUAACCUUCAAAACAUUUGUUAACUAUCAACGUGACAAAUGUAGGGCCUAAUUUUAUUAUCAUUUUAAUAACUUCGAUAAGAAAAGUAUGUGCAGCAAUUGCUGAUAAUGCUCACCACCUAUAGGCUAUAGUAUUCGGAAGGCCAGUCACAAGGUUCUUUCACCAAAACCUUGCAUUGACAUGUUCUCAAACUUGAAAAUAUUGCUUUGUUCAAAAAAAAAAAAAAGAAGAUAAAUGAAAUUUCCCACUCUUUAUUACUUUAUGAAAACUUCCUUGUCUUCUUUUUUGAUUAUUUUUUAACUAUUGGUUGAACAAAUAAAUAAGAGUAAAUUGUAGCUAUGGUCCCUUAACUUUAACUCAAUUGGAGCAAUGAUCCCUCAACUAAAAAUCCAUUAUCAUUGAUCCCUCAACUCAUCAAAACGUGUAGCUAUGGUCCCUCAACUUUAAUUCAACUGGAGAAAUGGUCCCUUAACUUUAACCCAAUUGUAGCAAUGGUCCUUUCAACAUAACUCGUUUUGACAAAAUUGUUUGACGUAGUUGAUGAAAAUGACCAUAAUUACACACUUUGAUGAGUUGAGGGACCCUAAUUAUAUAAAUGGUUAUUUCAACAUAACUUAUUUUGACAAAAUUUUGACGAAAUUGAUGAAAAGGACUAUAGCUACACAUUUUGAUAAGUUGAGGGACCAAUGGUAAUGGAUUUUUAGUUAAGGGACCAUUGCUCUAAUUUGAUUAAAGUUGAGGGACCAUUACUACAAUUUACUCAAUAAAUAAAGGCUUGAACUAAGUGAAAUGCACAAAGAAAAAAAAAUGGUACCUUGUAAUCACUUUCCUUUAGAGCAAAGCCUAUCCAUCUUUAGGAAAGACAAGGGCAAGGCAGUUCAAGUGCCUUCACUAUUCACUCUCAACAGUAAUUGUUUUUAUGCAACUUCAUUCUUUGGGCAAGGGCAAAAGCAAUGACAAUUACUAUUCACAAAUAUAUAUUUUUUAUUAUGUCUUAUUGGCCUUAUCCUUUAUAUGCAAUUAUCUUCUUAGAUUGCCCAUGAGGUUUUCAACUACUCUCAUCAUGCCAUGUGUUAUUUGUAAGUGUGUUGAACUUUGUAAGCAAGUGUGUUGAACUUUGCAAGUUUAUUAAGUAUGUUCAAGUGUGUUUUAGUGUGAACUUUGUAAAGUGUAAAACAAUUGGCCUUAUCACUCAUUUUUUUUUUCUAUUUGUAGCAAAAGGAUCUAAAAAGUGGAUAACAAAUAUAGGAGAUUGUAGUGAAAAUAAAUAUUGAGUUGUGGUGCAAGAGAAUAAAGUAGAUGGUAGGGGAAAAAAAAAUGAAAAGUUGUGUUGGAAAUCCAACAGUUUAGGCACAAUGGUGUAGAGAGCCAUGGGCUUUGUCUCCAACUUUUGUCGCGGAGCCCACUGACUUUCUCGCUGACGUCAUCUACGCUAGAAGGCACAAGGCUUGGCAACUGAAGGUCGGACACUGCAACGGGUUUGGUGAAGCUCAACAAUCGCCCCUCACCCCCCUUUUUUGGGGGCCAUCAGAGACACUUCCAUGGUUUUGGACAAUUGGCCUGCUCUUGCCCUUGCCUUUCUUUUGAUGGAUGAAGUUGCUCUUACAAUUAGCAUAUAUUGUUUAUUAGGAAGAAAAAUCCCUAGUAGAUUUAAGCCAUCGAGUUUCACAUCGAGUACAUAAAAUGGACAUACAAUGGGCUGCAUGCAACAUAUUUUUGAAAUCUUAGGAACAAAAACAACAAGAUAUUAGUAUCACAAAGACGAUAAACCAAAUCAAGAUGAAACAUAAAUAACCUUAUAUGUAGAAUACAGAAGAUACGACUCUUGUGGAUGAUAAGGGAAUAUUCUACUCACAACAAACAUAAGUAUUCCAGCAAUAAUAGAGCUUGCUCAAAAAGGAAUGUGUGUAUUGUGAAAGUUGAGACAUCCUUAAUAUAGUUGAUCAGGUCUCCUAAAACCACAUAUUAUAGUUAAUAGAAAGAUACAGCAAAACACUAUUAAAUCAAAAUGUUGUCCAACUCAACAGUUCGAUUCAUAACUUGAAGAUCAAGUUAUCUGCCUUUCAAAUAGUUCAAUUCAUAACAAUUGACAACUCAACAGUAGUCUUAUAUUGUCCCACUUUAAGUGUCAAUAACAAGAAUUUGAUAACAACAAGAAGCACAUUGAUCACUAAGGUAAGGAUACAACAUAUUUCCCUCAAAAUACAAACUAUUACUCAAACUGAAUGCAGAACUAUAGAAAUCCAAAUGCAUAUCUUUAUGCACUUGUGCUACAUGGUCACAUGCACAUUCAAUCCAAGCAUACAAUUGCAUACUAUGCCAUGGUGUCUGAAAUCAAUGAAGCAAAUAUCAGUUUCACUAAACAAAAUGAACUCUAGCAUGAGUUCCUUGCAUGAAUUUCUGUCAAUUUAAAACAGUAUGAUAAAAGAAUACGAGAACAAGUAAAAUACAAUAUUGUGAAAUCCCAUUCCCGAAUUUUACUAUUUUAAUUUUUGCAUCCCGUAUGUACACGAAUUUAUUUUGUAUAUUUUGUUCAAUUUUGAAUUUUAACUGACUAGUUACAAAGUAUGAAUUUUCGUAGCUAGUCAUUAAAAAUCCAUUAAUCUUGUGAAGUGACUCUUAGUGUUUGUGGAUAUAGCUCGAUGCCACGAGUGUGUAGACGAAAACCGUUCGCGAAUCAAAGUUGUAAUGAAGUAAUUAAGAGUCCCUAGAGUCUGGGGCAAAUCUGUCAUUUUGCAUCUCUCUAUAUAUAAACUCCAGCAAAGCUGGAGGGGGGGUUUCCAACAAUAGAAACCAGGUCUGCACGACCCGUUUUCUUGCUUCCUAACCCGUGGACUGACUUGCUUCCUGUAGAGUUUUCUCAGCCAAUUUUCGGGCGAAUUCGACAGUGAACCAGGUUGCCACCACCACCAUUCCACUCAUCUCAACCUCAUGGAGAAAACCUACCCAAAGUUCUUAUAGUUUGGCCACCUUUUCAUAGCGAGCGGAGAUCAGAUUCUCCCUGAAUUUCAAGUCGGCGAUCGCUUUCCCCUGUGCACCUCAAAGUCAGCCACGAUCCCAAAUAGACUCAUCGUGUCCCCAGCAGCAAAACCCAAUCAUGUUUCAGUCAUUCAAGCUUUGGUGACCGCAAACCGAGGUUCGGGUUUUCUUGAAGUUCUAGCCUUCCCUCACGAUUUUUAGGCCCUUCCCAACGGAAGGAGCCUUUGUGUCAGGUAUAAAACUUGCUUCACUAUUCACAACCUUCAAUUUGAUAUAAAAUAAGCCAUUUUGGUCUUGGUUGGAAAUUCUAGCGAGUCGUGGCCGCCAGCAUCAGAAAUUUGACUUUGUUUUUCUAGGCUAAUUUUGUAUGCCUUGAAUUCAAUUUUGAUGUCCAUUUGAUGUAGUUCUGCUAGUUGAGCUUAGUUACUUAGAAUAUCUCCAAAGAAAAUGUCAAAUUAUAAGAGUCAAAUUACAAUUGAUGGCUGAUAAUGGCAAUCUGAAGACUUAUGUCAAAUUUUGUACUUCUCCAGCUGUCAAAUAUUAUUUUAUUAUUUAAAUAGAGCAAUGAUUGUAAUUAUUAAAAAAAUGUUGAAACAAAAUUUUUAUUAGUUGAAAUGUUAGUGGAAUAAGUGACCCACUAUUAAAAUGAAUUAAAAAUAAAUUUGACAUUGAUGUCAAAUUUGACAUCAAAUCACUAAGCCUUCAAAUUCAGUCAGCAAAUAAUAUUUUGGUUGGAGAGACUUUUGAUGUCAAAUAUGUACAGUGGCAUUCCACCUAGGAUUUUGACAUCUCAUUUGAAGAUGCUCUUAAAGGCCUACCGCUGGACCUUGUAGUAGGCAAAGAUUUGACAGUUGGAUCAUUAUUAAAUUAUAGUAUGUUGUUGUAUGUAUUUUGUCGGGGUCUUAGAAAUUUACGGAUAAAAAAUUUGAUGUACGGAUUUUCCGGAAUGAAUUACGUGGGAAUGUUGACCUUUCGUUGAUCGAGGGCUAACUUUUAGUCAAAAUACCAAGAAUUGUUCUUAUAUAUUGUAAUUAGUAUUAUUAGAGACACAAUAGAGAUUAAUGGGCCUAUCUUGGUCAGUAAGCCAUCUUGAGGGAUGUGUACCUCGAUUUGCAUGCAAGUGGCACUUUAUUGGGAUUCAAGUGUUUAUUGAGCUCUAGAUGAUGGUAAUGAUAAUGUGCAACUACUAUUAUGCAGAAUUGAGCAGGAACAUAUUAGAAUUAAUUUGUAGAAUACAUAUAAACAUAUUAGAAUUAAUUUGUAGAACUUGUACAUAUGAGUGACCUUGGUACCUAUUUCCCAACAUAUCAUGAUUUUUAAGAUUUCACAAGGGAGUAACAAAAUUUUAAAUGAGGUGUGCUGAGAAACUGUUAAAAAUCUGUCGUAUGGACCUGAGAUUAAAAAUUCACUAAAACUUCAUUGUUCGACCAAUGUGUACGAGUUACAUACAUACAUACAUACAUACAUAUAUAUAUAUAUAUAUUUGCUAAAUUAGUGUUCCUCAUUUUGGUUAGUUUAUGGUGCAUUUGGUAUAAGUUAAGACUUGAAGCAAUUUAUGGGCACCUAUUAAGGGCUCGUUUGAAUGUGCUUUUAGAAUGAUUGAAAGUGCUUUUAGAGAAAAAGUUUUUCGGUUCCAAAAGCACUUGAAGUGUUUUAUGCAAGAAGCACCAGUUAUGUACUUCUUCUAGGAAGCACUUUAAGUGCUUUUCCAUAAUUUACUUGCAUUUUAACUAAAGAUUGGUUCAAAAAACAUUUUAACCAAAAGCGCUUUCAGUCAUUUUAAAAGCACAUCCAAACGAGCUCUAAGUAUCCAAUGACAUCUUUGGCAACGUAUUAUAGGCUCCUGUUAAAUGUACUAUGAAGUUUUUCUACUAUAUAUGUGCAUUAUAGCCUCCAUUAAUCAUACUAAAUAAAAAUAUUAUAUGAGAUAAUUUGAUUAUAUAAAAUUAAUGAAAAUAUGACUUUAUUCCCUUAAAUUCAAUAUUCUCUAUGUUGGAAAUAUGCCCUGAAAGUCAAUCUUUGGAAGAAAUCUUUCAGGACAAAUGAAUCGAUGUAUGGAUGAUUCUUAUACAUGAAAUGGCAAAGAUACUAAUUAGGACUAUCUCAAUAAACGAUAUAAGUCCUGAAUAGUGAAUCCAUGGACAAUGGAUCGAUUGAAGAAGUAAUCUAAUGAUGUUAGACUACAGAGACCUUUUUCACAUAACCAUUAUGUCCAAAAGGUUCCUGGUCGUUAUAUUGUCGGAGGGAUACUGACAAUGCUUAGACCGGUACAUACUGUGUCCGCUUCAAUUGGAAGGAUGGAAAGUCUCAACCCAUUCGUGUUGUGACACUAAGACAAGUAUGUAGGUGCUCAUUAAGGGAAUGAGUUCACUGAACACAAUCGAAUCAGAGUACUUGCAUGGAGGUCUACUCACAUGUCAAGCAAGUAACUCAAAUGGUUGGAAUAAUGUAAGUAAUCCUUUGACCUGAGGCAUCGUCGUUGUCUUGUGGUUAAGUACUUAAUCUUUGAUUAUGUCAACGUCACUCUAUCAGAGUGUCAACGGCAUAGUUGGGGUUAAGCCACUUAGUCAUGAAGGCAAGUGUAUGCGCAACAAGGAAUCUCUAAUCCUCGAUAAGAGAGGAAGAAUACUCUAAGAUAUGAUUCGGGAAUCUUCGGCCGAAGUAUCGAGCGUAAUAAAGGGAAGCGUUCCUAUACGACUCAAUUGGAUCAUAUAAGAAGGAAUAAUCACAUUAGGGGUUUGACAUGAUAUAUCCAUACCCUAAUGAUGUGAUUGAGAGUAUUGUAUUAGAGAAGGAUUGAAUUAUAUUGUAAUUCCAACUGACUAGGUUCUUCGAAUAAACUUCUACAUUAGCUUGGGUAGCUAUGACAUAUGGUUAGAUGUCACUCAUAGCUUGUGAGUUCUUCUAGAUGAUUAAAUGUAGUCGUCAAAAAAGAAAGGUGAAUUAAAAUGAAGUUUUAAUUCACUAAGUGAUUGAAUUAAAUAUAAGCAAUUGGAUUGAUGCCAAUCACCUCACUGCCUUGCUAAUUAGAACCUAAAAGAUUGUUCACCACAACACUAUUGUAGUGAGUAACUAAUGGAUGAUGGAAAUAAUUAAUUGGAUUGAUUAAUUGUUGUGAUUGAUUUAGAAAGUCCAAAGAAAUCAUAAAAGCGAUAAAGAUCGUUUUGGGCUUAAGAAACGUUCGGGUUUAAUUGGGCCCAUUGGGCCUAAACCCAUUGGGCUUUUAUUCAAGCAUUGGAUGACUUGAAAUAAUAAAAGCCCAAAGCCCAAACAAACAACAAAGAGGCCGGCCACUUUAGGUGUGAAAGGAGUGAGAUAUUUAGUCAAGUUGUUGACUAGGUUUCUUUUGUCUAUAUAAGGAACUUUAUAAGAUAUUGUUCAUUGGGGUUUUUGUGUGUUAAAACAACAAAGAGGCAAAAGAAAAAUAGCUCUCUAAACUACACAAAGGCCGGCCACCAAAGGGGGUUUUUACUAACAUCUCUUACACCCUUUUGGUUAUUCCUUCAUCCUUCUCACUACACAAGUGGGUGAGGAUCUUUAGAGGUUUCCUACUUUGGGAACUUGAAGAGAACCUAGGAGCACUCAUUAUAACAAAGUGGAGGAGGCAAGGAGGGAAGCUAGGCUCAAGGAUUUCAAGGAGUAAAGGGCUUGGAGGUGGUCCAUCCUUGGUCUCAAGUUUAGAUCAAGAGGUAUAAGACUAACCUUCACUUUGUUCUUGAUUCUAAAAUUUGUUUUGAUGCAUUAUAUAUAAACCUAUGAACCUUGAAGGGGAUUUGCAUGACUAUAGCUUUGAUAAAUUGUUAUAAAUGCUUCCGCUGCUUUCGUAUAUUAAAUUUGUUUUGUAUAUGCAUGAUAGUCAUUAUGAAAUCCCAUGCUAGAAUCUCAUAAAUUUCCCUUCACUCUAACUAAAAUCCUACAUAAUUUUUUUCUUAACUAAAACCCAGUACUAAGCUCUACCUAAGUAAAAUAUUUAAUUAAAUUUUACUACACACAUUUUAUAUUUUUUUGUAAUACACCUAAUUACUUUGUUAUCUAAUUAAUUGUGUGCAUAGUAUGUGAAUUAAUGACAUAAUAUUUUUUAAACUGAAGUAGGAUUCUCUCUCCUCCAAAUUCCCCCUUGUUGACCCUAAAAACUACUUAGCCUACGUGGCGCAUAGGCCGAAUAGCUAAUGAGCUAGCUACGUAAUUCGGUUGAAUGCAGGGCAUGCUAACUUGACAACUGAGCUUGAUUGGUGAGUGAAUGAAUGUGGUGGUGGUGAUGUUGAACGCGCUGCUGACUUCUGCGUCUUGUGAUUGCGGCUAAGGAAGGAACUCGUCUCGGCCUCUGGAUUCUAGAGCCUGAAGACAAGGCUGCUAGUUUCUUCGAAGUUCACGAAUUGUAAUUAUAUUUGUGCAAAGUAUUUGGUAGGACUUCUGAAGUGUCAUCUCUUGAAGGAGGACAUCAACAAGUUGAGUAAUCUGAGUAAUGACUGUAGCUGAAUGUCUCUACCGAUCGAGAUUAAUUUCCACUUCUCGAUGUGCAGUAGCUUCAGGAGUCAAGGCAACAGGUAGGUCCUAUGCCAUUUCUGUAACUGGGGGUAACAGUGUUUGGUUUACGGAUGUCUGAUUUCCGGUUGCUUUUCCCAUCAUUGGCUUUUUCUUGAUGCUGCGUGUUACGAUGGCCAUGAACUUCAUAGUGAUUUAGCACAGGGUCCCAUUAGGCGUGCCGUUGACCCCAAAAACUAUCUAGCCUAUGUGGCGUGCAUGCCAAAUAUUUAAUGAGCUAACUAUGUUAUUCGGUUGAAUGUGAGGCAUGCCAACUCGACAACCGAGCUCGAUCGAUGAAUGAAUGAAUAUGGUGGUGGUGACGUCGAACGCACUGCUGACUUCUGUGUUUUGGCCUCUGGGUUCUAGAGUCUGAAGACAAGGUUUCUAGUUUCUUCGAAGUUCACAGAAUUGUCAGCACUGAGUUCAGCUGCUGUAAUUAUAUUUGUGCAAAUAUAAGUGCAACGAAUUGGUACUAAACUAUACGGACAUAAAUACUCAAAAGCUUAAGUGUCUUGAUUAUAAAUGUGGUUUCGUUUGAAGGGCGAACUCUUAAAUGUACUUGUGAAUAACCAAUCAUGAAAUAAAUUCAGCUUUCAAUGUGCCGAACGAUGUAACCUGGUAACACCUCACUUCGCCGAGAAAGCUAAUGAAGUGACCUCUUCCAACAAGGACUCAAGAAUUCCUUGCUAGCCGAGACUUGGAUAAAUAACUAGCCGGUCUUUAAGCAGUGUUGUUAAGACUAACUAAAGUUGCUCCUUAGUCGCUAGAUUGUAUGACUCCAGUGCUGUUAAGACUAAUUGAAGGUGUUGUCGGUUGUCAACCAUAAUGUUGCUUAGACUAAUUGAAGGUGUACUCAACGAAGUUAGAAAAGUUAGUGUUUUCUCUGGAUUAAGAGGGUUUCGCAUAGAGUGAGAGUUUGCACAGGGCAGUUUGUUUGUGUGUUUGAAGAGGCUUUGAAUGUUGUACAUCCUCUUUUAUUUAUAGUAGCAAUUUUUCCUGGUGCCGAGGUAAAACCCUAUUCAUACUAAAAUUGGUGUUGAAGUAGAGUCAUAUUCGAACUAAAACUCAUCAGCAUAUCCUUAAUGAAAUUUCUUGUAUGAAUUGAACUUAACCACUUCUACCAGACCUGAGACUCUGAACUUGCCCAUCUUUUGGUAUCCAAUCCAUUCCCUUAUUUUAACCAGGCCUUUAAGAAUAUUAAAAAUAUUCUCACACCAUCUUGGUCUGAGGAUUCUUAUUUGAAUCCGGACUUAGCUGAAUCUACCUUUCAAAAUUCAAGUGUCCUGCAUCAAUUCAAACUCAGCCAAAGUAUUUUGGGUUGGCCUAAGAUGUCUAACCAGGCCGAGCUAUGACCUUACUCGGCCUAAAUCCAUUACUUUGGGCCCAAACAUUGACUUCUCACUUCUAGAAUAUGUAGUCAAGACACCUCAUCUAAGAAAAUUUCAAAGAAACAAAAUGAUACUCGGCCAGAGACACUUGGCCAAGCGUCCUAGAGAAAUUAAAGCCCAUUAACUUGGACAUUAAAUGCACUUGAAUCCGUAUUUGCUCCACUUUUCUUGACUGCCGCAAACAAACAUGUGUCAAAGUUCCACGACAUUUGUCUGUAUUCGACAACUUCACACGCCCCACGAUUUCAGUGUGUAGAUGCUGAAUUGCCACGCUUUGAAGAUUAAGCUUGAAACUCGUGCCUUAUCAUCACGUCCAUUCAUAAGGUGCCGUGAUGAUGGCCUAAACCUUACAAAUUUUGAAACCUGAUGAUUGAAAAGAUUAGUCCUAUAUUUUAAUCAUUAAACCAACAUAAAACCUUAGACACCGUUCUCAUUCUUUGGCUAUAAAAACCCACAACUCAUAUUUCCUUCCUUAUGCUUUCAAAGUCUCAGAAUCUUAAAAACUCUACCAAUUUGGUCUCAAACUUUCCUAGAAACCCAAAAAACUCAAAGAAUCCCUGCAAUGGCUUCCACUAUUUUUGUCCAACUGUUAUUUGGAGAACUUGAAAAGACUCCACAGAUCAUGGAUCAAUAUGCCAUCAAGAACUUUCGUUUCCCAGACGAAGAAACAACAAAGCUCAAAGUUCUCAUCCCACUCUUCAAGGUCAAUAUUCCAGAGUCAGUUUUCUCACUGAUGAAAACGUAUCUUGUAUCUCAUCUCUUCCAAAGUCAGAACUGGGCAAAAUGGGAGGUCACCAAACCUCAAGUGUAUAGCCCUCGGUCUUCAAAUUUUUUAUUGAAAGAUAUCUUUAUUGAUCAGUAAUAAUAAUGCCCCUAAUUUUUAUUUGGUAUAUACAAUAAUUUGAAUUUCAUUAUUAAUUUCUAAUUUUUUAAAUUUAAUAAAACUUACUCAAUCAUAUUUUCAUUCUAUAAUUGGAUUUGAAAGGGGAUACAAAAGUAUGGUUGGUUAACUGAGAAUUCCUUCUGGCGGUUAUCGACUUCUGGUGUCCAGCCACCAACUCAAUGAUCAUUCAUCUCGGCCCCAUGGGCUCAACCAUUCUUGACGUUACUACCCUUCUUGACACAUGUCCCUCAGGCUUCCUAAUUGAUGCCACUUUUCACUCUUAUCAAUAUGAUACGGAGUUAAAAGAGACUUCGAGGAAAUGAUGGCUGAGGUUCUCAAGGGAAAGGACACCGAGAAAGAAUGGUCUUGGGAACAAAUUGCCAAAAGGAAAAGAACUUCUUGAACUAUAACACCUUUAUUGCUAACUUCGUCGGGAAAGACAACGAACCUAUUCGGCAGGUAAGCAAGAAACCUUCCUCUUCUAGCGGUAUAGCAAUUUCAUUUUUUUGUUCUUGAUCGAAUAAAUGUUUGAUCGAGAACAUGUCCGUAGCUGAGGCCCUCGUCAAUGGCCAAUUCUUGGCCCUUAGCCCUUGCAUCCUGGCCAACAUCUACCAAUGCUUGCAUGACAUCGUGACAGAGGGAUGGAUCCGCAUCAAAACGGUCUUCUUUGGGUAUUGCAAUUAUGGCCCAAGGCGUAUUUCACACCUCUAAGGAUUGAUUGUGUGCCUCCAACUGGGCCUCUCGCCGUCCCAGAACAUUCAGCAUAAAAAAAUUUCCAAUAAUUCUUCGAUCUUAAGAGCUUGACCAAAGAAGAAUUUAUGGUUUGCCGCCGAAGGAUAUAACUGCCAUCCCUGAUAUUUCCUACAUCAAGUUGGGAUGAGGCAAUAGGGGCCAGAAUCUGACCGAACUGGGGAUCAUUCUUGAUUAUCCACGACAUCCCAUUUGGCUGUGAUUCUCAUCGUGCGAGUUUCGAAGUUUACCAUCCAAACUUCUUUGCUCGCCAGCUGGGUUUCUACUAGGGCUGCCCAAUUCCUCUAGUGACUUAGUUUUCUCAGCUUAAGAGGACUAUGAUGCCACUAAGGGUAAGCAUACCGAACAGUGCACCCAGUUCCAGUUUCGGCCAUACUUUACCGAACUUAACACCAUCCCCUCAUUCGACGAUUAGUGGAGAGAUCAUACUGAGGAACUCUUUGGCACUCCCGUCAAAGAGGUCUUGAGUACGAUCUUUGAUGAUCGUCCAAGGACACCCACACCAAGACCCAACCAAUGCAAGUUUAUGAACCUUCUGAAUUCUUUUGUUUUAUAUGCCUUUUCAUUGCUAAUUACUUUUUCCUCAGGUGGAUGAACUAGGAAGAGCUCAAAGGUGAUGCUUGUUGUAGCCGUGAAGAAAUGAGUUUUCUUAAAAAAGAAAAUCCUCCAGUUUCGAUGACUGCUUCCUCUUCGUUUCAAUCGAUUCAAACGGCCCAAGUAGGGACGAAAACAAAGCCUCACCCUCAUGAUUGAAGGAUUAGCAUCCCAGAGUAGGAUGUCACUUCGACCUAUGUAAGUCAUAUUUAGUUUCUCACCUUGCCUUUUAAGUAAGUCUAAAAUGAGCUGAAAAACUAUCAGGUGCAUGGGCAAUCAUAUCACCGUCAAUUCUACGCACCGUAAUGCGUUGUUUACAUUUCUUGGCCACCUCAAUGGCCUUCAAAUAUAGACAACCUCCAUCGACCUAUGAAAUAAGGAGUUGUUUUAGACACUGGGCUCGGCCACUAAGUUAUCUUGGUUCAACCAACACCCUAGAAGACAUGGCCAAAGUCUCUUCUCCAUAAGUUAAACUUUCUCCCUAUCUCAUCAUUUCAUUUACAUCUUGACUUAACCAAAUAUUAUUUAUGCAACCUCUCCCAUCUUGAACGGUCGAGCUCAAUGCACUUCUCUCCCACACAUCUGGAACGGCCAGUUCAUCUAUUGCUCCAGCCGAAUCUCCUGUUCUUGCUAAGCUGCAGCAACUGAUGUCCCUAUUUGCCCAGGACAUUUUGAAGAACAUGGCCUCAAGCUAAUUGGUGAAGGUUUCAAUAAUCUCCUGUUCUAUCGGCAAUGAGAGCAAGCCGAGAUAGAUAUGGAGGAAGCAAUGGUCAGUCAAGAGGUCAUCUUGCCGAUCCUUAAGAUGAUCAAGGGAAAAAAGACCGAAACGACCGAGAUUGAUCGCCAGAUUGCCGAACUCAAUGCUCGUCGUAACAUAAUCUCCUAUGAACUUGAAGAAGAUUAUGAGACUCACAAGUCUCAACUGGUGGACUAUGUAUCGAGUAUGCAAAAGAUCCAACACCUAAAGGCUGACAGAUGAAUUUGGGAGGUUGAGAUUACAACAAGGGAGCCGAAAUGGAUAGAAUUGAAAACGUCUUUGCAAGCCUUCAUGCCCACUUGUAAUUUCUCAUCAUAUUUAAUAGAAUUUGGCAUUUUUCUGAAAAAGUUUAUUCUCUCAUCUCCCAUGUAACUGGAUAAUACUUCUUUAGAAAUUUCUCAUUGAUUGAUGACUUGUUUACAUCCGUUGUUUGAUUUUUAAGGUAGGAUGCCCCAUUGCCGAGCACUUUGUGUACAAUAAAAGGUCCUUCCCAAUUCGAUGAUCAUUUCCUAUAUUUGGGAUCCUUGGUCCCAACUGGUAUGAAAAUCUGCCAGACAUAAUCGCCUUCGCCAAACAUCUUAUGUUUUACUCUUUUAUUGUAUGCUCCUUCAAGAAUUUUCUUUUGAGCUACAAGUAGGUUACAUGCAUCAAGACGCCAUCUUCUGGAUCUUUUAAUUCCUACAUUAUUGCCUACUUUUAUUCACUACUAAACGGAUCACUUUGUUUGGCAACACUUAAAAAGUUAACGUUUAUCUCCAUAUGCAGUAUUGCAUCAUGUCCAUAUGUCAAAGCAUUAGGAGUGGCGAUAGUCACCGAGCGUUGAGUCGUUCAGUAAGCCCAUAAUGCUUCAUUGAGGUUUAGAUGCCACAUACCUAGCUUAUUCUACCAUCUUUUCCAAAAUACUUAUCAAAACCUUGUUACUUGCCUCGGCUGCUCAUUGGCCUAAGGAUAGUACGACGUGGAUUUUUUUGAACGAAUUUUGAGAUUCGAUGUGUAAUUUUUGAAACGUUUGACCAUAAAAAUAGUGCCAUUGUUUGUAAUGAUCAUUUCUGGAAUACCAAACCUUGUCACAAUAUUCUCCUUGACAAAAUCAUAUACUUCUUUUGCCUUAAGAUCGGUGUAAGAUUUGGUUUUGACCUAUUUAGUAUAAUAGUUUGUAGCCACAAGGAUCCAAUGUUUUGCCAAACCAGAAGUUAGUAAAAUUUUGCUGAUAACAUCCAUGGCCCAUCCCCUAAAUGGCCAAGGUUUUAUGACAAAAUGUAGCUUUCGGCUAGAAUCCGCUGUAUGAGACCAUUCAAUUGGCAGGAAUCUAAAAUAUAGUCGGCCAGAUGUAACCAUGUCGUUGAAGCAACCAUCUCAUUUUUUAGCCAGGCUGGUGAGUGCCAUAAAUCCCUUCAUGUACUUCUUUAAUGGUCUGAGAAGCCUCUUCCUGGCCGAGACAUAACAACAAAAGGUCGUCUUCACCUUUUCGGUAAAGCUCAUUCUAGUACACAGCAUAGUUCAUAGCAUGAUACAUGGUUUUCUUAUCAUGCUUGCCUCCCGAGUUGUUGAGGUACAACGUGAUCAAUCCUCGCUAAUCCGACGGUGUAAAUAUUUUUCAGGACGCCUUUUUCUUGCAAGGACGGUAUGGACAUGACCGUGGUUUUAAUCACCUCCUUUUGUUUAAACAUUUGUUAAUUAACCAGAGCUAGUUAUAAACGUUUCUUGAUUGAGAUCAUCUGACCCAUCUUGACUUUCAUGAAUUGUGUGCCGGAGGCUAGUUAGGCUAGUUUAUUGGCAUUGCUAUUGGAAACACGUGAUAUAUGCUUGAAAGAAAUGCCAAAAAAGGUCUUGGCAAAAUCGCUAGCGACCAUAUGAUACGGAGCCAGCACGCAACUUAUGCAUCGGAAUGCCCUUUUUAUUUGGUUAAUCACCAACUCAGAGUCAUCGAGGACGAGAACUCUUGUGGCUUUGAGAUCAUGCAAUAAACCAAGGCCGAUUACCAAGGCCUCAUAUUCAGCUUGGUUGUUAGUACAUUCGAAACUAACUUGAAGGUGAAUGACUAAUGUUGUCGUUAUAGGGAUUAAAUAACAAUGUCGAUGCCUGUCGACACUGCGGUACUGGAACCAUCAAAAUAUAUCAUCUAGUAGUUGUCCUGCAUCUGUACCAUGCCGAUUUCGAUGUCUUCUCCCCCAAACCCAUAAGGGGUAGGAUGUUAAGCCAGGAAAUCGGUCAGAGCCUGCCCUCUGACAGAUUUCUAGGUACAUACUAGAUAGUAAAUUUAGAUAAUGCCAUUAUCAUUUACCGAUACCGUUGCUGACUAUUGGCUAAGUAAGCAUCUACUAGAUGACAUUGGUUUAUGCGAUAACUUGGAUAACCAAAGGGAGCAUAAAAUGGCGUAGUUUAGAUGCUGCAAAAAUAAAGCUAAUCAAUCUCAGUCGAAUUAAGAUUGCGACUGAGGUAGAAAACGACAUGUUCUUUGUGGUUCUCAUUAUCCUGGGCAAAGAGGCAACCAAUAGACUCUUUGGCAGCUGACAAAUAAAGCUUUAAUAAAUGCUUUCCUCUCUUUGGGGGCAUCAAAACUGGUGGGUUAGUAAGAUAAACCUUAACUUGUUCGAAUGCGGCUUGAUGUUCAAUGUUCUUGUAAAGCCUUUGUUGUCUUUGAGCUUAAGUAACUUAGGGAAAGCUUUCAUUUUCUAGGCCGAAUUAGAGAUAAAACGAUGUAGAAAAUUGACUUUACCAAGGAAAGAUUGUAAAUUCUUCUUGGUAGUAGGCGCAGGGGCUUCGAUGAUGUUGGGAGCUUUGUUUUUAUCCAUCUCGAUACCUCAGUGAUGAACUAAGAAACCCAAAAAAUUCCCAGCUCAUACGCCGGAUGCAUAUUUUUUUGAGUUCAUUUUGAGCUUGUGUUGGCGCAUACGGACGAAUGUUUGUUGAAGAUUAUGACUAUGGGUUUGGUGGCGUGUCAACUUAACGAGUACAUCAUCAAUGAAAACUUCGACCAUGGUGACAAUGAGAUCAUAAAAAAUGCUAACAUUGUGCGCUGGCAUGUGGCGCAAGCAUUCUUAAGACCUAAUGGCACUACUACCCAUCGUAAGUGUCGAGCACCUUAGGCAUUGGAAAGCAAUUUUAUGAACAUCGGCCUCGGCAAUAAAAAUCUGAUUGUAACUGGCGUGGUCAUCCAUGAAAGACAUAACUUCAUGAUUGUCUGCUACAUCAAUAAGUAAGGUAGAAAUUGGCAUCGUGUACUCAUCUUUUGGGGUUACCAUGUUUAGAUUACAAAAAUCAAUACAGAUAGGGAGGGCACCAUUCUUUUUAAGUACCGACACAAUAUUAGCCAACCAUUCUACUUACCUAAUUGUCCAAAUAAGAUCGGCUUUUAGGAGGCAAACUAUUUCAUCUUUGAUGCCGAGCUGUACUUCGGUUGAAAAUCAACGUGGAGGUUGUUGAAAAGGUUUACAAUUAGGUCUUAAGUUCAUGCUCGACCAAAGACCUAUCCAGGCCAUGCAUCUUAUGAUAACUCCAAAACAGUCUUUAAAUUCAAUGAGCAAAUUACAAAGCACGACUUUCAUGGCUGAGGUAAAAAAGUGCUAAUAAAUAAAGGUCGAGGAUCAUCGGUUGUCCCUACAUUUAUUUCUUCUAAAGGUCUUGAAUUCUGGUCGAUUACCUUCGUGUUUGGCCAUAAUGGCCUUAACUUCUUUAGGCGAAAGCGUUAUGCUGUUAUCCCCUUCUGCCAAGAACUCGAUGAGGUUGAUGCUAGAAUUUGGUUCUUCUAAGAUAGCAUACCAAUGGGUUAGCAGUCAUUCUACAAUGGAUGAAACGAUGGUCUUCCUACAAGGGUCUGUGGGCGUGUUAUUUAUUAGAAAAGUUUGCAAGGUUAGCCAUGCCCAGUAUCGCCGAAUCCUGUUAGACGAUUUUGGCGCCUAGCUAGAUGGCUUUCUAGAUAAAGAUUCACUUUGGCUGACCUUCCAUGUUGAAGCCUUAAAGGGUGAUGUAGCCGGCGUGUUCAUCGUAGUACCAUGCUUGAAUCAUGUUAGCUUCGAAUGACUGAUUAUUGGUUGGGUGUACUACAACCGACUUGUCGUCCCAAAAAAUUAGAAUUUGGUACAAGGAUGAAUUAAUGUAAUUAGUCUGGUGAAUCUAAUGGCGACUGGGCAAGGCAUUAUAUUUGAUCUGGGAAUCCACAAUGAAGAAAGUCGUUAUAUGCGUUUGCGAUUGUGACCUCUAAAGGCAAUACACCUUUGGUCUGAGAUUUGUCCCCCAUGAAACUACUCAUAGUGAUGCUGGAUGAGAUAAAUUCAUCAUUUGAUCGAUGAAGGGCUUUCAUGACAAAGACCAACAUGAUGUUCACUGUGGUGCCAUAGUCGACAAAUACUUUUGAUAUCAAACACCCCUCGAUAUACGUAGUUACAUAAAAGGGUUUCAAAUGAUGAAGGUUAGUGGCUGAAUUGCGAGGAAAGAGAACUGAGCUUCUAUUCUUGACCGUUUAUGCUAGGGUCUUCAGGUUGCACGAAGUCAUCGUGCGUGGGCUUUUCUAUGAUUACAUCCCCUUCAAGAAAAUUCAGCUGAUGGGCUGCCGAUUUGAACAUAGGUGAUAGGAUAUGGACCAUGUGAAUUUCCAUAUUAUCGAGGACUAAAGGGCCUAAUGCCGUCUCUUCUUCCUCAGUAGAGCUGUAUUCGUAUAUUUCUCCAUCAAAUUCCUCAUUAUUAGGAUCUAUUGUGGGUUCGAUGAUAGCUGAAUCCUUUGGAAGAAUGGCCAUAGGUACAUCAUCGACUUCAGUCGUUAUGGUUAGAUGUUUAACAACCGAUUCUAAAUGGUCGUUUUGUUUGUUAAACUCAAACCAACUUUGACAUCUGCCUGAGCCGCUUUAUAUGCUCAGCGUUAAAAUGCAAUUCUAGUGCCUCGGGUAUCUAAGUAUGCAUGCAGGCGACCGACCCGAACAUUUUCUUCCUCAGUGAGGCCGAAUAAGGAGACAACCAAAAAUACCUGGAAGUGACCACGUAAGUAUUGGAAAUCAUCUAAGGAAAAAGGUAACUCAUUUGGAUUGAUGUCAAUGUAUGACUCGUUAUCAAAACCCAGAACACCACCUUCAUGAAUAUAUUAGAAUCUUGACUUCAUAGCAGGAUUUGAAUGUCAUUCAAUAAUCUAUUUGGCAGUCGGAUUGGUCAAAGCCAAAUCGGCCUUCUUUUUUUUCUUGAUUUGAGCUUUCAUUUUUCCUGGCCAAAAACAGUAAUUGUAUCAGUUUCUCAGAUUCCUGUUGAUCUCAGCUUCAAAAGUUGUUACAUCUGGUCUUUUUUUUUUUUUUUUUUUAGAGAUUUUUGUGAAAAUGGUAGGAAUAAUAGGAGUACGAUCUUCCUAUUUGUUUGCCUUAGGCUGCCAAGUAAGUGUGACUUGAUCAUUUUGGGCUAUCUGGGCGCAACGCUAAGCAUUACAAACAUUAUAUAGGACUGUAUAGGCUCUAGUGGUUAAAUUAUAUCAAUGCCAUUGCUGGUCUCUUGGUUCUGGGGGCUUGAAAGUUCUUGGUAUGGAUGAAGAACUAGAGUUGGCGGAUCUUUGGACGAAGUAAUUCUCGUCAUAGAAUGGUCUCUCAAUGUUAAGUUGCCAUCAAAUGGGAGGCUUUUGUUCAGUAGUUUGGGGAUUGAGUCUACCAAAAACUCCUUAUUGAUUUAAUCAUAAACUUUGAUCAUUCGACCGAGACCUAAAUUCUAAAUUUUUGUGUUGUUCUUCUGCUGGUGCCCCCGAGUGUGUUGACAUUGCUUUGGAGCGGCACUGCACUUUUAGACCGGCGAUCAUCACCUCGGUCUUGCAUCAGCUACAUAAAAUAAUUGGCCCUUCAGAGUUACUUUAGCUCGACUCUUGUGUGAAGUCAGCCAAAUGAGGAUGGAGUGCAUUGGUAGGUGGGCAUCGAUAAUGUUGACUAUCACAUCAGAGAAAAGAUCUCUGUCAACCAGCAUAUGACUUUCUCAGGAAACCUUAACUUUCCAUUAUCUAUUCAACUUUGAAUAGCUUCUCAAAAUAUCACACAAUUAUUCAUUGCGUGUUUGCUAGAAUUAUGAUAUUUGCAAUAAUUUUGCCCUUUAGGUCUUCGGCCUUAGGUAUGUUAUGCCCAGGCCGAAGUUUAAUUAUCUUGGCUCUCAAGAGUUGAUAAAACAUCCCAUUUACCUUAGUAAUAUCAAAAGUAUAAACCUUUGACGUUUUCACCAGCCUUGGCUGAAGUAGUACGACUUUUGGUGUCCUUUGUAUUAGCUCGAGUUAAAGCCUUGCACACGAAUGGCUUGUCAAUCACAAUUUUGGCCGCAUCAAUAUUAGCAUAUUGAGCCUCAGUGUCACUAGCUAAAGUGUAAAUCACAUUUAGGUUUUUGUACAACGUCCCUUCAGAUGAUGUCUUCUUUACGUUUUCCUCUCUGAGCAAAGAAUCUUAUUGUUCCAUGUGCUCAGCCAAUUCAUACAUAUCCCGAAAGUUCAUGCAGAAGAUCUUUUUUUAGAACUCCAUAUUCAGGCCGUUCUGAGCUAUCCGCACAUAUUCGGUCUCGUGGAGGGGUAUUUAGCCCCAAUUCUUAACUGCUUUGAAUCUAUAUAGGUACUCAACUAGGGAUUCGUCGGACACUUAAGCCAUCCUAGCUAGAGAGGAGACUGAAGCUUCAAUGCUAGGCUGAUGAAAUUGCUUGUGAAACUUCCUUGUUAGGUCAUCCCAAGUCUGCACCGAAUUUGGAUUUAAAUUAAUGUACCAUGAGAACACCAUUGCUGUUAAGGAAUAAUUGAACAAACAUAACUUAUGAUAGUCAUGGUUUGCAUCCCACACUAGGUAGUAAAACGACCAACAUGCUCUAAAGAUGACAAGCUCGACUCACCAUUUAACAAACUAAAAUCAGGAAUCCUAAAUCCUCGGCGACACUUGAACUUCUCUACAUACGACAGAUGCGAGUAAAUAUACUUGGGGAUUUUCGAUCCUCGUUUCAUGGCUGAAUCUAUCAUUCGCUAUACCUCUUCUAAAUAAAUGGCUGGAGAUUCCCCUUUGUGGUCGAUGAUUAGUGGCCCACUGAUCAACUGUGGGUUGUGAGUAGGUCCAAGAUCGACCCUGUCACCAUUGAGGUCGAUUUCAAUAUGUGAAGGCUUAGGUUUUACAUUUCCUGGAGAAUUUUUCUUCUUUGGUGGAAGAAAAUUCUAACGCUAUCUUUCGACAGCAAGUUUGCUUUCCCGAGAUUCUUUUACAAACAAUUCCAACCACUUAUUGGCUUCUUGAUGGCAAGAAUUUACUUGUUCCUAUUUGAGACUCAGGUUGCCAAUCUCACGCUCGAGGAUAAUCUCGAGAUGCCGAGUAUGUUCUUGAAGUUUAUGCGAAAAUAAAGUCUUUGGUGGGACUUCUUUAAGAGUCACAGCAACAGGUAGGCCCUAUGCUGUUUAUUAAUAGAGGGUAAUACUGUUUGGUUUACGGAUGUUUGAUUUCUAGUUGUUUUUCCAAUCGUUGACUUUUUCUUGAUGUUGCAUGUUUCGAUGGGCGAGCCAAAUGUUGAUCCUAAAAACUACCUAACCUACAUGGUGCAUAAGCUGAAUAGCUAAUGAGUUAACUACAUCAUUCAGUUGAAUGUGGGACGUGCCAACUAGGUGACCGAGCUCGAUCGAUGAGUGAAUGAAUAUGGUGGUGGUGACAUUGAACGCGCUGCUGCCUUUUGUUAUUGCUGCCGAGAAAGGAACUCGUCUUGGCCUCUAGGUUCUAGAGCUUGAAGACAAGGGUCCUAGUUUCUUCGAAGUUCACAAAUUGUCGGCACCAGGCUCGACUGUUGUAAUUACAUUUGUGCAAAUAUAAGUGUGGCAAAUCGGUACUAGACUAUACGGACACAAAUACUCGAAAGACAUAAGUGUCUUGAUUGUAAAUGUGGUUUGGUUGUCUGAGUGCCGGACUCUGAAAUGUAUUUGUGAAUAUCUAAUCAUAAAAUAGGCUUUCAAUGUGCCGAACUAUGUAACCUGGUAACAUUCACUUCGUUGGGAAGGCUAAUGAAGUGACCUCUUCCAACAAGGACCAAGGAUUCCUUGCUGGUCGAGACUUGGAUAAAUAAUUAGCCGGUCUCGAAGCAGUAUUGUUAAGACUAACUAAAGUUGCUCCUCGACCACUUAAUUCUAUGACUCCAAUGCAAUUAAGACUAAUUGAAGGUGUCGCCGGUUCUUAACCACAAUGCUAUUAAGACUAAUUGAAUGUGUGCUCAAUGAAGUUAGAAAGGUCAAUGUUUUCUCAAAAAUGAGAGGGUUUUGCGUAGAGCAAUAGUUUGCGCUGGGUAAAUCUAUUUGUGUUUUUGAAGAGGUUUUGAACGUUGUACAUCCUUUUCUAUUUAUAGUAACAAUUUUUCCUGGUAUCGAGGUAGAACCCUAUUGGGACUAAAAUUGGUGCCGAAGUAGAGUCCUAUUCAAACUAAUACUCCUCAUCAUAUCCUUAAUGAAAUAUCUUGUAUGAAUUGAGCUUAACCACCCCUACCAGACCUUGGACUCUGAACCUGCCCAUCUUUUGGUAUCAAAUAUGUUCCCUUAUUUUAAUCAAGCCUCUGAGAAUAUUAAAAUAUUCUCACACCAUUCUGAUAUGAGGAUUAAUAAUUGAAUCAAGACUUAGCCGAAUCCACCAUUUUGAAAUUCAAAUGUCUUGCAUCAAUUCAAACUCAGCCAAAGUAUUUUGGGUUGGGUUAAGAUGUUUAACCAUGGGUCAAGCUUAUGACCUUACUCAGUACAAAUCCAUUACUUUGGGUCCAAACACCCCUUUAUUUGAACAGUCAUGAUUAAGUCACGUCAACACUUUGUGUUGACUUCUUUAUAGAGAAAAAAAGAAGAAGGAGAAAAGUGAAAGAGGAGGAAAGAGAAAUCUACUCCUUUUAAACUAUGUGAAUUGAAAAGGGGGUUAAAUGCUUAUGGCCAAGAAAAGAAAAGAAAAGGGACAUUUAUGCUAUAAAUUCAAUGCAUAUUAAUAAAAAAAAAAAAGAGAAGUUAUGUCAUGGUAUAUAUUGUUAUCAAAUAUUUUUACUUAAUGUUUGUUAAAAAAAAAAAAGAGUAUUGAUAAACUCACCCCAUUAUUUUAUCUCACCCCACUGUCUUAUCAAAUAUUUUACUUAAUGUUUGUUAAAAAGAAUGAGUACUGAUAAACUCACUACACUGUCUUAUCUCCCCACCCACUUUUUAAUAAACAUUUUGACACCAAUUUUACUUCUUAUAAAAUGACAUCUAAGGACCAAAGCUAAAAAAAAUAAAAAGAAAAGAAAAAGAGGAUUCUCUCUUAUCUGUUCACCAUCUCUCGGAAACUAUCUCAAUUCCUUCAAAUAAAAUUUUUUGUUCAUUUUUAAUUCCUUUAGUUUAAUCAUAUAUAAUAGUUGUUUAUAAAAUUUUACUAAUAAAAAAUUAUUUAAAAAAUUUGAAAAAUGAAAUGGGAGACAUAAGAAGAAAUUGGGCUUGGAAGGGUUGGAUUGGGUUGUUGCGAAUUUGGGAAUGGGGUAUGAGGAUGAAAUCUUGGGAAUGCGGCAUGAGGCUUGGUCGUGGGAUUUGAAAGGAGGAGGGAAAGGGGUUACAUUGGGGGUUUGGAGAAAAGGAAGCAAGGAACAAGGAAAGUUGCCAUCGGUUGGAGAUCUGGAAAGUGAUUAGAUUCUAGAAUUCUAACUGGAACAAAAAUUGGGAAGGGAGGCCUUGGUAAAAAUUGGAUGCUUGGUUGGGUUUAUCAGCACUCUAAUAUAAUAUGUUUUUGAUAUAUAUUAGAGGUUAUUUUAGGAAAAAUAUUAAAUGAGAAAAUAGCAUUUCAGUUUUUUAAUUUUUUAUGUUGAUGGGAUUAAAACGUGGGUGAGGAAAUAUGACAUUAGGGUAAAUCUAGCACCACAUUGGGGUUGUUUAUUUUACUAAAAUAUUUAUUUAUUUUUAUUUUUUUGUACGAAAAAUGUUUUACUUUUGUGUUGUUUCUUACAAAAAUAUUUUAUUCAAAAUAUAGGUAAAUUAUUUAUUUUAUCCAAAAUAUAAGUAAAUUAUUUACACAUACAUAUAAUAAUAAUAAUAACAAUAAUAAUAAUAAUAAUAAUAAUAAAUGUCUAAUAUGUAUAUAAUAAUACAUACAAAAUAAUUUAUAAUAAAAAUACAAGAAUAUUAUUUGAUAAAAAAUUAAAUUAAAAAUCUACAAAAUAUAGGUAAAUGAUUUACAAUAGUUUUGUCUAGUAAACCGAAACUGUAGUUAUAAAAUUUCCGUAGCGGGUCCAUUAAUUGAUGUGCUAUAUCGGCUUCAAUUUCUCAUUGUUACAUUAUGAGUAAGAGGUGAAGAAUUUGAGCUAAAUUACGUAAUGAGUUGGCUAUAUUAAUUUGACAUCGAACUUGUCAUCCACAUAAAUUGGAUUUAAAAUCACUCAUGUACGAAGGUAUAUGAGUGUAAAAAAAUUAUUAUUAAACCGUAAUGCUAUGUAUCGGCACUGAUUCAUGGAACUACACUUGUCAUGUGUAUCACAUUAGAUAUUGCUUUCGUACGUAGGACAAUAGCUUUUCAUUCUUUUCAUUCUUUUCUUUCUUACGUUAAUUUUUUCAUUCUUCUCUUUCUUACGUUAAUUAGAGUGUCUUGCAAACAUGUAUAAAUGUUAGCUUGAGCUUCCUGAAUAAAAAAUUUGAAUUGUUUUUAAUGAAAUAAUGGUACUCGUUUUUCUGUCCGGUAAAAUGUGGCAUAAUACACGCCAUUUUUCUCUUGGUGCGAAAAUUUUACCUGACGAAGUUUACUUUGUCCUUCAAAUUUUUUCGUCCCCUAAAAGUCUUUGAAAAAUAUCCAAACGUUGACUACUUUUGUCUAGCCAAAUUGUUUAUUUCGUUGGAUAAAGUUACUUUGCCCGUUGAAAUUUGGUUCAUCGGGCAAAUGAUAAUUUAUGGUAGUGCAAUUAAAUGGUAACUCAUUGUAUGACAUUGUAAAGAUUUCAAAAGAUUUAAAAUGAUGUUAUUUGAGGGUGCAUAUUAUAAUUAACCCUACUUUUACUAUUUGUAUAAUCUUUAUAUGUACUAAUACAAUGCAUCUUGUGUAUAAGUCUCCGACUUUUUCUUUUACAAACAAAACUCAAAGCCAGCCGAAUUAAUCGAUGUUACGGCAUGUAUGAUGUGGUAGAAACUAACACACAAAUUAAAACCUAUAUAUUAUGCAAUCAUAGUACAAGUAGGGAUCGUUCUAUUCCAAGGAUUAGAAGGGACGCUAAUCAACACAAAUUAAACUUAUAAAACUGAAAACUAAGUUAAACUAACAACAAAAAGUGACUAGGGGAUUUUGGACGAAUUUAAUUAAAACAAAAGUAAAUGGUAGCAAGUAAAUUAAGUUGUGAAUGAAGUAUGGAUGAAAUGAUAGCUAAAUGAUUCUUCUCCAAACAUGAAUCAUAUGCAUACAAAUCGAUUUCCAAUUAUGCUUCCUAUAAACCAUGAAUGAUAAUGCCCCAAAUUAACUAUGAACAACACUAAUUAACUCUCAGAUUUUCCUAUGUUCAUCGAAUUGGACUCAGCAACACAACCAAAUUAUUCUUCUCAAGUUCCUUAACUACGAAAAGCAUGAUAGAGAUACAUAUAAAAAAUCAUUAAGUUCAGUGAAAAUCAUAAGCAUUGGGAACUAUGAAAAACAUGAUACUCUUGCCAAGAAUUUACUUAACUCAAUCAUGACUAGUGACUUUUACUCCUUGCAAAUAUAAGUUCAUAACGAUUAGGUGAAAUUCCCUUAUAGUCUAGCAUCAAAUCCCUUCAUGCAAACUAAGUAUGCAUCCUUAAUAAACAUACAAGAAUAAGUUUUCUAUAAAGUAGAUAAGUAAAUCGCAUUCAUGUUUUAUGAAACAAUAACUGGAUGUAAUCAAUUUAUAUAAAACAUAUGAUCAUGGCUUUGAAUUCACCUCUAACUAAAAAGAAACUUAGUUACACAUGUUCAUCAUAACUAAAAAGUAAUCUAAAAUAAACAUUGAAACUUAAAACAAAGUGAGAAAGAACUCUGAAAAUUCCAGCAACUUCAAUGGAUGAAUUGUAGGUUCGACACCCUCUAAAACGUUGCAGGACACUUCAUAUAUAUAUAGGGUACGGCUGAAUCCAAGGAGGAAAGGGAUUAGGCGUUUUGAAUUAUUUUAGGACUCUAAGAAACAGAUGGAGAGUGUUGGAAUGUGAUUAGGAUUCUUCCUUACAGCUGGAGAUAAGAUAAGAUAAGAUAGGAUAAGAUAAUGUUUCUCUCCAACUAGGAUUCCUCUUUCUUGUGUAAUUCCUUGCCUUCCAGGCCUCCAUUUAAAUUUCUCCAAAUCUUAGCACAUGUUUAACACAUUUUAAUCCACACAUGCUAUCCAAUCCAAAUCCAAAACUGCUCCAAAUUGCUCCAUUUGACUAUUUGUUGUCAUCUUUACCAAUUGGACCUACAAUAAUACGAAAAUAACUUAAAUUACUAUAAUAAAUAGAAAUUAACUAAGUAAAUGCAAAGAAAUAAGAUAACAAAUAUCUAAGAUUUUGUAGUUGGAAUGACAUCUUCGGCGUCACAGUUCACAUUACUAUGGGGAUUGGAAGAACUGGAGAUCGAAUUGAGGCUCAAAGGAAUUUAUAUAGAUCCUUCAGAUGCAAGUUUGGAUUCACAUGGAACAGUCUCCACACAAAAUUUAUAUACCUGUAUGAAUCUUUCACCUGCUUUCAUGAUCGUACACUUCGCAUUGUUAAAAAAAAAAAAAGUAGCAUUAUAUCCCAUGGUGUAGGCAAACAUAAUCGACAAAAUUGUUAUAAUAACUGACAUGGCAAGUUGUUCCAUUUAAGUUUCAAACCUUGGUUGAAUUCAUACGAAUCCUAGUGUUUGAUUUUUUUAAAUCGGCAACCCACAACAAUAUGAACAAACUAGAUGAAGGUUUCAAGGGCAAGUGGGGUCCUGAAAUUUUUUUCUAUAAAUUUGGGGAUGUUCUUGAGGUUGAGUAGAUCAUGGUGGUAUAUUCAAAUACCCCAUUUGAGCAGUGUAUGAGAAGUUAUUUCCUAGUUUUGUGUAUGUGAUUUAAAUAACGUUUAUUCAGUUAUUUCGCAUAUAGGUGAGACCUAUCCUGAGGACGAGAGCCAUCAAUCAAGGCUCGAGGCUACGACCCUUCGACAUAUCAGUGAGUGGGCUUUUAGUUUUCCGUAUAUACCUAUAUACUUGAGAUUUUUCCCAGAAAAUGAAUUUGAAUGAUUAUACGUUUUUGAAAUGCCAUGCAAAUUAUUUGUUUAUUUUAUUAUGCAUUAGUAGUUGCAUAUAAUUAUGAUUGGUGUUGCGGACGCACAUGUAAGUGUUAGGUAGGUUCAUAAUUAAAGGUAUGAGAUUGUUUUAGUUAUGCAAUGUAUGAUGUGAUGUAUUGAGAGCUCAUAAACCUGCACCCCGAUGUUAGUGCUCCCGCCCAGAGUUAGGGCACAGUCCUUUACGUGAUGUUCACCUCUCACACCAUAUGCUCACCUUGGAUCCAAGUUAGGUGCACAGGCUUGUCGUACAGACCACUUUAGGUGGUUCCGACUCAUAGGUGACCCACGAUUAUUCGCACAGUCUUCACGUGAUCGUAGCACUAGAGCAUAUUUAUUUUACACCUAGUCAUGUCGUACAGACCACUUUAGGUGGUUCCGACUCGUAUGCAGGAUUUGAUUUGAUUUGAUAUGAUUAAGAUUGGUUAUGAGCUAUAGAUUCAGUCAUGCAGGUCACGUUAGGUGGAUCUGGCUGAUAUGAUGUCUGGCACUGAUAUAUUUAACUGGAUUACUUAUGGCUUUUCAUUGAGAUACUUUGGCAUGAUAUAUUUCUAUGGAUUUUCAUCAUGAGCAUGAAUUCUGAUAUAGCAUAUAUUAUAUUUUUUUGGGAAAUUAUAUAGGUUUUACGGCGAGGGGUUAGAACUUAUGAGAAAAGAAAUGAUUUUGAAAAGCUUUGUUUUUGCCCACUCACACUUUCUAUUUUGCGCCCCUCCAGGUUUUAGGUAGAAGUGCUUUGGUGGAUCACGAGGAUUUCGACGGGGAUUCUGACAGAACAUCAUAAAUGUAGGAUCACCCUUGGGUGUUUUAGCACUAUAUCUUAGCCAGUAUUGCUAGUAGUUUGGUUUUUAUUCCUUCGCAUUUCCCUUAUAUCUUUAUUGUUUCCGUACUGUGCACAUGGUUACGUCACUCCCACAUGACGGCCAGCAUGCCUUGAUCUAGGUCGGGGUGUGUCAUAAAGUAUAGACACACAUAUUCAGAACAUAGGUAACGUAGAUGCAGUCCAGCAAGCUAAACAUUAAUUAUACAAGACAUGAAAGAAAUUCCUACGUUACUUGAAGUCUAUCAGAACCGUCGUAGAGUCCUCGUAAACCACCAACACGAACGUCUAACUAGAACCUGGAGGGGCACAAAACAGAAAGCGUGAGUGGGCAAAAACAAAGUUUUUUGAAACCAUUACCCUUUCCAAAAAUAAUAACCCCUCACCGUAAAACCCGUAUAAUUUCUCAGAAAAUAAUAAUACAUACGUAUAUAGAAAUCAGGCUUGAGAGCAAUGAAAACCAAAGUAAGUGCUAUGUCAAGUAUCUCAGUAAUAAAUAUGUAAGCCAGGUGAUGUGAAUCAAUAUAAAAUGAUGUGUUAGCCAGAGUCACCUAACGUGACCUGUACGGUUGAACCUAUAGCUCAUAACCAAUUCGCGCACACGAGUCAGAACCACCUAAUGUGGUUUGUACGACAAGCUAAGUGUAAAUAAGUACGCUCAAGUGUUACGAUCAUGUGAAGGCUGUGUGAUAAAUAACAGGUCACCUAUGAGUCGGAACCACCUAGUGUGGUUUGUACAACAAGCUGGCACCAAACUUGGAUCCAAGGUGAGCGUGCGGUGCGAAAGGUGAACGAUCACAUGAAGGUUGUGCCCUGGCCUCGGGCAUGAGCACUAACACCGGGGUGCAGGAUAAUGAGCUAUAUUUGCAUCUACUUAUAACUAUACACAAAGCAACCACUAUCAUAAUACAAUACUCACCUGAAGUUUACCUGGGCCUUCACAGCGUCAUACAAUAUUAUGCAUACCCAUACUAAUGCAUAUACUAAAAUGAAAUGCAAGCAGGACAUGGCACUUAAAAAUAUAAUUCCAUUUAAAUCAGUUUCUGGGCAAAUGUAAAACAUAUAUACGUAUAUAUAGAAAACCAAAAGGCCACUCACUGGUAUGUAGCAGGAUCGUAACCCCCGAGUCUCGCCUGGCUACGCUUGUCGAAUGUUUCACCUAUAUGCGAAACAACUAAUUUAACGUUAAUUUGAAAGUACAUAACCAAAACCAUGUAAUAACUUCUCAUACGUUGUUCAAUUGGGGUGUUUGAAUAUACCAUUGUGACCUACUCAACACCAUGAGCAUCCCCAUAUUUUUAGAAAUUUUUUUUGAUAUCUUAUGCGCUGGCCACUCGCAGGCAUGUGCCUGACACGUUGGACGGAAACCCUAAUGGCCUUAGGGGAUAUUCCGUUACAUAGAAACAUAUUCCAUUAGAUUUACCUGACGCCAUUAGUAUAUUCCAUCAAAGUUGAUGGAAUAUUCUCUAUCUUCUCCGGUUGUCUUCGCUAGAGCCGCUGCCAGCCGCCGUCUGUUACGGCAGAAACUGGAAAAUCUUAAAACCUUAAUAUCUCCCUCAAUUCUCAAUCAAAAUUCACGGAUUUUAUAUAGAUUUGAAGCUCUCAACAAGGAGAACAUAAUCUUACCUAUUUGAAGUCCUAAAACCGAUAGAAAACGAUCGUAAAAAUUCUUGGUAAAACCGGCUAACUCUGCAAUUCCACAAUCGUGCUUAUUCCGACACCCAAACUUCUCCAAAACUAGUCUAAAAUGCUACAGAAGUUGAGCAAGUACCUUAGUAAGCCUUAAAACCGAGUGAAUCAGCCACGAUCACGUCGAAGCUAUUUUAGCUCUUCGCCAGAGGUUUUGAAUUCCGGGGUUUUCGAGAUCAACUCACUUAACAAAUGGUACCACAAGAUUCUAGAGCUUGAGAGAAGUAUGAUUAUAGAAACCUUGAGUUCGAUCUAUGAAGUUUGAUGGUGUUUGAAAGUUGGAGGGCUCGAGUCAUACGGACGAGAAAGAGAGAGUUUGAGAAGAAAGGAGAGGGUGAGGGUUGUACGUGUGUGUGUGUGUGGUCAUGGGUUGGCCAAUUUAAAAUGUUCUCAAGCCCUAAUUGGGCUAUAGAAUUUAGGGCUUAAACAAACAAGUCCAACUAGAAAUAAAACCAACCCAAUUUCACUUAUUCAUCUGUAACAUUUUCGUUACGAACCGUUUCGGCCCUAACUCGCAUCAACACUGUCACAGCCCGUUCCAAAAUAUUACAUUCGUGGCUGUGAAUGGACGAAAUUGCCCUUAAGAAAUACUAAGUAUGUGAAGCUCAAGUUGAUAAUUAUCUAGGUUCCUAAGUUUUGAAAAUAAAAUGGAAUUUAAUAAGGAUGAAACUUAGAUUUUUAGGUUAAAAUUUUGUGGUUUGGAGUUGGGGAUUGGAAAAGGACCACAUGGGAUCCCCACACCCCUCAAUCCUCUCCCUAUUUUCUGCAUACUGUCUCUCUCUCUCCUCCCUCACGAAUCUCUCUCUCUCUCUGUCACUCUUCUUCUCCGUUCGAACAAACCAACCACAAAACAACCUUAAACUUCCUCCAACGACGGAGUUAAGACUACCAUUGCAACCCUGAGGACUUCACGAUCACGUAGGUACCAUUUUCAGGUAAGUUUCAUUUCGAAAAACCCUAGUUCUAAAGACCCCGUGAAUGUGUACUGUUCAUGAUCUUUGAAGUGGUUACGAUUUAGGCUAAAACAAGAUCACUGCGAGCUUAGUGAGGUCCCAAGGAAGCUCGGAGUGCUUCGUUGGAAGUUUUUGGACGUAAGAACACGGAGAUCGACAAGUUCAAAGUUUGGCCGGAGCUUUCGAGGCGUUUUCCGGCGAAUCCCCGGCGAGUUAGGAGUCGAGGUAGGUAUCAAUCUCUUCUUCUCGUCAAGUACUACAACUUUCCUUUUUGUUUCACUCAAUUUCGUUGAGUAUUGAAGAAGUUAUACUCAUUUGAAAAAUACCCAGUUUCCGGCGACCUCCGAGGCUUUCGAGGAAGUUUCCGGCCAAACCACGGCGAACUAGGUGUUGUGCAAGGUACCAUUCUCUUUGUAUCUUCAAGGGCUACAACUUUCGUUUUUGAAUCACUUGAUUUCGUUGAGAAAUGACAAAGUUAUGGCAAUUUGAAAAAACUGCCCAGAAAACGGCCGCCGGAAAACCAGUCCGGCGACCCAAGGAAGAAGAAGGUGCUACAGUAAAAAUAAAAAAAAUAAAAUAAAAAAUUAUUUUAAAAAUAUGUCGACGUCCGUGACGUCGAGUAGAUCACUGUGGUAUAUUCAUAUACCUAAAUUGAACACCGU
rnacentral:lncRNA from 1 species